rnacentral:lncRNA from 1 species
AUAGAGUAAAAGCUACUUACUCAUUUUUGCCAUUUGAACCCAGGUUGCAGCAGCCCUGUUUUGGCCUGUGCUGGGUGACUGCUCUGCGGCUGGAAAAAGGAAUAAUUUGAGAAGCAAUAUCUGCUCACGGACAUUCUGUUUGCAAGCACAAGCUAGAUAGUAUUAUGCAUUUGCCACGAGCAGUGGCGGAAACACACCGGUGAUGCGUGUUAUCGGCAUGAUGCAUCUCUUGUUCCGCGAUGUGCUUGGAAUAUGUUUUGCAUCUUUGUUUCCAUGCCCAUUUUGAUCUCUCUUUGUUUCUUUCCUCAGUUGCGCGGCUCCACCUGUGCUGAUAACUUGCAGCUUGAAUUCUUGCUGGUUUGAUUGCAUAGCUAGGCUCUUGUGUUUGGUAGCAGAUGCAGGCUGUGGACCUUUCAAUUUGCAUAACACGGUCCGGGUCCACCACAGCAUCACGAGAUAUUUCUACAGGAUUUUCCGUUGGGAGUGUUUAGGGUUUAGAGUUGACGUGUCACUGCUAGCUGAUCGGUGCAUACAUCCGAUCCAAGCGUGUGGCGUUGUGGCUGCCGGUGCAUCGCUGCCAUGUGUGACGUGCUUUUACUUCACAGCCCAGAGUUUUGUUUUUGUUUUGUUUUGGCAUGAUGCCAAAGGAAGGCGUUGAUCAUUUCACCUUGUUAAUUGGAUGGGUACUGAUAGCUGAUGGCCUGAUACUGGCAAACAAGCAUGAACGUCACAUGGAGAUCACUGACACUUGUCCCGUCUGCGGCCUCGAACUGGGUAAAGCUCAACGUGGAUGGGUCUUUUGCACAGCCCGACGGAUGAGCUGGUGCAGGCAUGAUAUUGCGGGACGAAAAGGGUGAGAUUGUGGUGGAAUCGGAUAUAGUCUCCGACUGGUGAAUAUGGUGAAGGCCCAGGAACGUGAUAGAUCAAGGCAUGCUAUGUUGAUUCUAGAGUCGAAGCAGCUCAUGGAGGAAAGGGAAGUUACAUUUACUCAUGUUCGGAGAUCUCGACAAAGGGAUGUUUUUCUUUAGGGUCGGUCUCGACGAUGUUGGUUGAAUGGUUGCUGAGUGCCGACCAUCACACUUAUGUUGCUACAUAUGCGAGUGUUAUAGACGCAACAGAAAUUACUUUAUGACCACACUACCUACUGAACAAGAUUUGGUUCCCCCGCAAAAAAAAAAAGAAAGAAAAAGAACAAGAUUUGGUUCAAAAGGAAGCUCCAGUUGCAUGCGCAGUCAGUGUUUAACUUGUUAAAACGGUCGGUGCUUUGCAUGUUACCAUUUCUUCCAGUAUACAUGCCUUCUGUCCCAUACAUCAUCCAUGGAAUACUUUAACGAAUCUCUGGCUAGCUGUACAGCGUUUCAUAUGUUGUACCCACUAUGCAGACAUAUAUUCCGGUAUAAACACACAUGCAAACUGACGAGCACAUGUACUGCCGUUACGUAAAUAGAUUGACCUAACUGCUGAGUCUUUGGCCUGAGAAGGAUACUGCUAGCACAAACAGACAGCUUUAUUUUUUUAUAAACCUCCGCCUUUAUAUACUCUCCAAGAGACAAAGCAAUCAUGUUGAAAAUCGGCAAGGACAGAAUAAACCAGUGGCACAAAAAUUCGGGAGCUCCUAUUUCGCGCGCUAUGCGCUGAGUAUCGAGCAAACAAACGCACACCCCAAUGGGUGAACUUGGGCCGGCCCAGCUGCGGGGCAGUGCUAUCCUCCUUUUUUUUUGUACUUUACUUUUUUUGCUUCUUCAGAAAAGCUUGGGAUUUAAAACGAUGCUCAUGACUUCAAAAAAAUAUUCACAAAUAUUUAUGAAUUCAGAAAAAUGUACAUGAUUUCAAACAGUGAAUAAUUUUUGAAUUUCGAUGAACAUUUUUGUAUUUGAUGAGAAUAUAUGAAUUUAAUGAAGAUUUUUUGAAUUUUAUGAACAAAAUAUGAAUUCAAGAACAUUGUCUCAAUUCAAUGGACAUUUUUUUUUACUAUGACGAACAUAUUUUUGAAAUUCAUUAACAUUUUAUAAUAUGACGAAAAAAUUUUGAUGAUAAAAAUAAUAAUUCAGCAGACAUUAUUUUAGUUUGAUAAUUUGUUUUUCAAAUCUAUGAGAAUUAGAUGGAUAAUGUUUUAAUUUGGUGAACAAAAAAUGUUCACGAACAUGAAAAAUUGUUCAUGAAAAUGAAAAGAAUAAUAAAUGCGAAUAAAAAGGGGAAGAACAAAGGAAAACCCGGGAAAAAAAUAAAAAAUAAAAGAAAAAAAAUACAAAAUCCAGCUUAGGAAGGCUCUAGAACCUUCUUCCCAAAAUCGGAAGAGGGAAGCCUCUUCUCCUCUCGCCACUGCCAUGGUGCGCCGUCGGGCAAAGUUCACGCAGCUUUGACGGUGGCGGAGAGGUCUUUUAGAGAUGUGGUGCCCCGGUGGGGUGCGCGACAUGACGGUGAGGGCUAGCUGUUGCGUGAGCAUUGAUGGCUGGUCUGGGCUGGCAGCUCAGCUCCGGUGCAUUGGCAAUCUUCGGUGGUGGCCCUUAGCCUGAUCACUUGAGAAGGGAGUUGCGCGAUGGGAUCCUGGCCGGCGACAUGUUUUUGGUUGUCUUAGGGUUUUUGAUAGGGAAGCGAGAGAAUGGUGCCGCCCAGAGGCGGCAUUGAGAUAUGCUGACGACGCGCCACCGAUGGACGCAGGAGGAAGAAGAGUUCGGCUCCCCCAAGGAUUUGAAUAUAAAUACUCCUCUGUACUCAUCUGCUCCCGGUCAGAAAACAAAUCAAAAUAAAUACUAGAAAAAUACAAAAAAUUCCAUUUUUUUUGUGGUAGAUAAUUUGAUGCGUGAGGUCCGCCCCAAACUUCAACUCAUUUAGACAUCUGAGUAGCUCUCGGAAAAAAGGCAAAUCGGCUCAGAACAGUGCGUGAAGAGUAAACAAUUUUACAGACCCUGAUUUUUUCUUUUUUGCCGAGAGCUGCUCAAAUGUCCAAAUAAGUUGAAAUUUGGAGCGGACCACACACAUCAUAUUAUCUACCACACAAAAAACAAUUGUUUUUUUUUUUGAAUUUUUCUAGUAUUUGUUUUGAUUUUUUUGUCAGCGCGGGUGCAGCUGAGCCCGGGAGUAGAAACUCUGCGUCCGAAGAAUUAUCACUUUUCGUACCAUGUAGUGUGAAUGUGAAGAAGACACCCUAACGUCCUUCGGCAGUGCCUACUUCAGCUCUGCACUGCUAUCGGAUGGAAGAGUAGUGGUGCAUGGAAUAGUCUUUGAGCAGGAGAAACAUACAUUGUGAUAGUUGCAUACUCUUUGAGAGUUUAAUAAUUAAUGUAGAGUAACUAAAUUACCGUGAAUUCAAAUUUUAUAAGAUCUAUAUGUAGAGUAACUAAAUAAAACCGAAUCAAGUACAAGAGAGAAGGCAUCUGAGACAUUGCAUUACCGGCGCUCGUAGCCCUUGAACACCUCGCUCAUGACUGCUUCCCUUGAUUGCCUCUGUCCACAUGCACAAAUCCCUCCACCGAGAAAAUAUAUUGUACUUCAUUUAAGAAUGAAUCUAGUACAACUUUGUACAAUAUACAUUGCCUGGCCAUGUAAUUACCGUCCAAAAUAUAUGCAAUUAGUUUAGUUACAUAUAGUUUGUCAUAAUUACGUUGUGUUGCGCACACAGAAACAAGUUCCUAACCCAUAUAAUCAUACUCACAGAGCAUGGCAACUAAUCUCCGAGCUUACAUGUCCCCUGAAUCUCAAAAACAUGCACCUGCUCUGAACUUUUGCAAAUUUACUCUGCUCUGAACUUUUGCAAAUUUACUUUGCUCUCUCAAUUUGCAACUGCUUCCACAUUCAGAUUUCAGGCAAUCGGAAAUGGAGUGGAGGGGAGUAGAUUUUUCACAGAAAUACGACGGCUACAAUAGAAUAAUCUCUCCACGUCUCUCAAUAGGCACACGCAUAUACACAAGCAAGCAAAUUGAACUGCAAAACUGAAACAAAAUCUGCAAAGUUUGUGAGGGAUUAAAUUUUGCUAUGUUGCAAUUCAGUGUUUACUCUGAAAUUUAUGAAGUAAAUAAAAAUUCCAAUUUACAAAUAUUGAGCAGGUGUAUUGGAUGCAAAGCAGCUACACUUUUCUAUUCCAUUGGCCACCCACCGGGGGCCGAUUUUCGUGUUUUGACCCUUUGGACAAAGUUUAGCCGGAUCUGACCCCCAUCUAAAAGUAUUUCGGGAUCCGACACUUUUGCUACCGCCAUAGUCCCCGGCGGUAGUGUUGAAUAGGCUACCGCCAAGGCCUCCAGCUGUAGGGCUAACGGCAGGCACCGACGUCCGUCCCCCCUAUACUGACAUGGCAAAGGGACCUACCGCCACGGACCCCGUCGGUAGGCUCUGUUAGGCUACCGCCAAGAUCCCUGGCGGUAGGGUGCUGUGUAGUGGAUAAGGUUGUGUGGUGGGGGCACAACCCCCACCCUCCACACAACCAUUCACCCCAUUCUCUCCCACUCACCCGAGCAUAAGUCCUCUCCCCCCAUUCUCCUCCAAUCAUAAAAUGCACAAAAGAGCAAUAAAUAGGGUUUCCAACAAUUUGAGCCAAUGCCACCAAAGUAGAUGAUUCCAACCAACCAAAAGAAGAGAUUGGGAGAGAUACCUUGGGUGAUGCAAAUGCUCCAGAUCCACUGAACAAAUCUCUAGCAAUGGAGAGAGAUUUAGUGGGUGCUUUGCUGGGGGAGAGACGGGGAAAGAGGGUGAGAUCGGGAGGAGGAAGGAGAUUGGGGAUAAAUGGGUGGGUGGGGCCCCCACCACCACCUUAUCCACUAUAGAACCCUACCGCCAGACUGCUUGGAGGUAGGGGCACGUAGCUUACCGCCAAAACCCCUGGUGGUAAUGUCCUUUGCCACGUCGGCACACGCAAACAGCCGUCAGUGGCCCUCCGUGAAGCCUACCGCCAAAGCAUUCAGCGGUAGCGUGUACAACCCCACCGCCAAAGACCUUGGCGGUAGGAGAAAAGGUCAAAUCCCAUUACACUUUUAGAUGGGGGUCACAUCCGGCUAAACUAUGUUCAAAAGUUCAAAACACCAAAAUUGGCCCCCACCGGGCAGGCCAACAUUGUCCUCCAGUGGUCCAGCACAGUUUUAGUGGCCUAGUACCGCACGUAGUGGCUGGGAUGACGUGGACAUGGACUAGAGACACUCGGGGGAGCUUUGACAAUGCGAGGACAACCACACCACCAGUUGCCGGCCGCUAGCGCGGCGGCGCUGCCAAGCAUUACACUCGUGUUAAUUGGCACAUCCGUAGUUACAAUUUUACGCCUGAAGACUGGGUACUCCAUGAUUUUCUAUGUUAGUAGCACUCCGAAUUAAAAUUAUUGGAGUACCAAAUUCAUCAGAUUAGAAAGGAUAGUUAGUUAGUUUAAUUUAAGUGUAAUUAAACAGCUCGGAUUUACAAAUCGAUUCUUUUGGAAUUUUAUUCUUCUGCCAAACCAAAUAGUCAGCAACAAUUGCCAGAGUAUUGCAAACCACAUAUAUAUCAGGCAUUAUUUCUUUCUUGGGACAUGUAUAUAAGCAUGUAAGCCAAUUUUGUUAGGUUGAUCUCUAUCCCGUUCGAACCCAACGGGUCGAACGGGCCCCUGACUCGCGCCCUGAUCGGGGGCGCCCAACCAAACCAUGGUUGGUGGGCCCCUGUCGCCAGCGCAAUAUAAAGAGGUGGGGGUGCCGGGGCACGUAUAAUGAGGUUGACCGUGCACCACAACACCACCGACACACCAAUCCGAUCUAGGGUUUUGCGCUAGGCCGACGGGAAGCUCCGCCGCCGCCAUCUCAGUCCACAUCGCCGCCGUCACCACACCACCAUGGCCGGUGCUGGAUCGAGUUCGUCCGCACCAGGAGAAGGUAGGUUACCGGAUCUCCUAGCCCACUCCGAUCUAAGGAUCUAUCAAUGGUAUCAGCCAGAUCGGGCUAGUUGAUUUCGGCACAGAGAAACAAAAACAGAAAAGAAAAAGAGAUCCCCUCCCCAAGAACCCUAAUCAGAGGGCAAAGGAAAGUUCACCGGCAGAGGGCCUCGGGCCUCACCGGCAAAGUGCGCCGCCACUCCGGUCGCGCCGUUCCUCUCGAUCCCGAAUCGCAUCGGCAUGCCGAGGAUUCGGGAAGAAGAACUACCCCGAGAGGGGCAAGAGCACCGGAUGGCCACACGGUCGCCGGCAAAGGGCACUGCCUUGCUGGAAAAGAAAAAAAAAAGGUGGGGGUAACCACCGCGGCCAAAUCCCUCAACAGCGGCGCGCUCACCGCACAGGGAGGACGCGCGACCGGCGAGGAGGAUGGCCACGGAGCAGAGUUGCCGCGCUCCUCUUCCUCUUUCUCUCACUGGAGGAAAAACGGGGAUCCUCUCCGUCUCUCUUGGAAACGAAGAGGGAAGGGGAAGGGGAAGGGGAUGGCUCGUCGGGGUGCCGCCCGGGCUCGCCGCUCCGCCCUGGCUCGCCGCGCCGGCGUGACUCGAGGAGCCGUCACCGAGCGAGCGGGUGAGACAGGAGCGAGCGGCCGAGAGCGAGGCGAGCGGCGUGCGGGGGGAGGAAAUGACUAGGGUUCCCCUCGCCCCCAAUCGCAUCGCUCGUUUUUGAUCAGGCGAAAAGCAAGGGCGGCCGUCGGAUUCAAAUCGACGGUCACGGUGAAACCCUAGUCCCCGCCGGGCCUGCUAGGCCGAAAGUUGAGGAGGGAGCAGGCCAGCUGGGCCGCUAGGUCGAAAGCAUGGCGAGCCCACAGCCACGCGCUGGGCGAGGCCGCAGCCACGCGCUAGGCCGAGGCCCUAGCCGCGCGCCGGGCCAGCCGCAGUGGGCGCAGCUUCGCGCUGGGCCGACUCCUUCCGCCGCGGGUGCAGCCGCGCGCUGGGCCUUAGGCCGCAGCCGAGCGCCGUUUUGAAUGUUUUCUCUGUUAUUCUUUACAGAGCAGAGUUUGACGAAUUUUGUCCAGUUUUUUUUGGGCAAAUUACAGUACGGUUUUCUGUUCAAAACACUCCAACAAAAAUUUGUUCAGAAAAUAGAAUAGUAAACAGGAAAAGUUUCUGAAAACGAAAAUUGAAAAUUUUCAGAAACAGAAAAGUUCAUGAAUUUUAUAAAGAAAUAAUAAAGUUCAUGAAUUUUUAUUUAGUCAAAUAAAAGUUUCUGUAAAAAGUAAAAAGUUUGUGAAUUUUUAUUCACGUUUUUUUCCGCUGCGUAAAUAAUUAUUAGUGCUCUUUUAAAAGAAAAUAAAAGUUUAGAUAGAAUUAUGUUUUAAGAGCAUGUUAAAGUAAUUAUGGAAAUGAAUAUGAUUAUGUUAUUUUUAUGACCAACGUUGUUAAUAACAUGAUCAUGUUUUAUUAUUGAAAUUUAAAGGUGCAUUUAUUUCUAAUAUUUUGCCCAACGGUAAUAUAGAUUUAAUUGCAUAGUCAAUUGUAUGUUUAAUUUGACCAACGUUAGAUUAUUGCACAUGAUUGUUUUAUUGAUGUCACUUAAAUUGUGAUUUCAGGAGGCUUUCACUUGAUGAGUUGCCUAAAAGAAGUUCCGACACUCAGAGGUGACAACCACACUGAGUGGAGGAAGAAAGUUGAACUGGCAUUUAUUUGUGCUGAUCUUGACUGGGUUGUGGUGAAACCACAGCCGGUCAGACCCACAGAGCCAGUAAGAGAGGCUACUGAUGAUGAUGCUGCAUGGGCUAAAAAGAAGGGGGACUAUGCUCCUUUGGAGCAGUCCUACCUCAUAGAUAACCAAAAGUGGGUCAAUGCAAACAAAAAGUGCAUGGCUUUUAUAAAGAAUACAAUUGAGAGCGCCAUUGUGGGCUCCAUUCCAGAGUGCACUUCCGCAGGGGAGUUGCUUACAAAGAUAAAGAGCCAGUUCACUGGCUCUUCAAAGAUCUAUGCCACCCAGGUGUUAGAGCAACUGGUGACAGAACGCUACACAGGUGGUAGUCUUGGAAUAAGAGAGCACAUCCUCAGGAUGAGUAAUAUGGCAGCAAAGCUCAAGCCCAUGGAUGCGGAUCUGGAGAUCAAACCAGCACUCCUGGUCCACCUGGUCAUGGCUUCACUGCCACAGGAGUUUGCAACUUUUGUUGUAAACUAUAAUAUGUCACCUGGAACAUGGGACAUUGAAAAGACAAUAGCAAUGUGUGUCCAAGAAGAGGAUAGACUCAAAGCCGCACAUGGUGGUUCAAUCAACUAUGUGAAGGAGUGGAAGAAAAAGAACUACAAUCAAAACAACAACAGUUCUCCUUCAAAGAAUGGAAAAGCCCCCUAUCAGCAUCAGCAUCAGCAACAACCUUUCUCAGUGGACAAAGACACGUGUCUCCACUGCAAGCAGAAAGGGCAUUACAAGAAAGACUGCGCUUCUUGGCUGAAGUCAGUCAUGGCAAAAAGAGGUAACAAUAUAGUUUCAUUUGUCAAUGAAUCCUUGUAUACACAGUUUUCAAAAUCCACUUGGUGGAUUGAUUCCGGAGCAACUGUUCAUGUUGCAAAUUCUUUACAGGGAUUCCAUUCGACGCGAACUACGCUAAGAAGCGAAAGACGCAUUGAAGUGGCAAACGGAGUUGAAGCAGAAGUUGAAGUUGUCGGUGAUAUCUCCUUGGAGUUAGCUGGCGGAUUCAAUCUUCUACUUAGAGAUGUUUUAUUUGUUCCAUCAUGUCAUAGAAACUUAAUUAGUGUUUCUUGUUUGGACAAAGAUAGUUAUGAAUGUCAUUUUGGACAUGGCAAGUGUGCCAUUUGGUAUAAUAAUGCUUAUGUGGGUGAUACUUUACUACAUGAUGAGCUUUAUUUUUUAUCACUUCGUGAAAAAGUUUAUUCCGUUUGCAACGUGAAAGAAAAUGUUUCCGCGUCCAAUAAAAAGCAAAAGAAAAGAAAAAGAACAUUCGACUCAUCGAAAUUAUGGCACUGUCGCUUGGGCCAUAUUUCGAAGGGGAGAAUAGAAAGAUUAGUCAAAAGUGAAAUUCUUCCUCCGUUAGAAUUUUCAGACUUAGAACAAUGCAUAGAUUGCGUUAAAGGAAAGUACGUAAAACAAAUCAAAAAAGGUGCAAUCCAUAGCACAGGCACACUAGAAAUCAUCCAUACUGAUAUUUGUGGACCAUUUCCGGUGAAAAGUGUGGAUGUAUAUGACUCGUUCAUAACAUUCACAGAUGAUUACUCUCGCUAUGGAUAUAUUUAUCCAAUCAAAGAAAGAUCUGAAGCGUUGGAUAAAUUUAAAAUAUUCAAAGCUGAAGUUGAAAAUCAGCAUGAUAAAAGAAUAAAGAUAGUUAGGUCCGACCGUGGGGGAGAGUACUACAGUCGGCACACUCCAUAUGGCAAAGUCCCUGGACCUUUUGCAAAGUUCUUGCAAGAGACUGGCAUAGUUGCCCAGUAUUCAAUGCCGGACGAACCUCAGCAAAAUGGAGUAGCUGAAAGGCGCAACCGUACACUUAUGGAUAUGGUGCGCAACAUGAUGAGUUAUUCCAACUUGCCAUUGUGUUUAUGGAUGGAGGCGCUUAAAACCGCCAUUCACAUUCUCAAUAGAGUACCAAGCAAGUCGGUGCCCAAAACACCGUACGAGCUAUGGACAGGAAGGGUGCCAUCCCUACAACACUUCAGGGUGUGGGGUGCCCUGCUGAGGCCAAAAUGUUUAAUCCAAACAUUGGAAAGUUAGAUCCCAAAACAGUGAGUUGCCACUUCAUUGGCUAUCCAGACAGAUCAAAGGGUUUUCGUUUCUGCUGCCCAGACAGAUAUACAAAGUUUGUAGAAACGAGACAUGCAGUCUUCUUAGAGGACGAAAUGAUGAGGGGGAGCUUGGUAGCUCGGAAAAUUGAUCUUGAGGAGAAGAGGGUGCAUGCACCUAAUCCAAUGAUUCAGGAGCCAUUUUUCUCACUACCAGUUGCAACUCCACCCAUGACAACUAUGGGGGCAGACCCGGAACCUGUCCGUCAGGAGCCGACUGAACCCGUUGUUGAGCAUGAAAGGGAGGUGCAGCAGCAAAUUUUAGAAGAAGUGCCAGAAGUUAAGGCACAGAAUGUGCCAGAAACUGAGGCCCUUAGAAGGUCUACAAGACCAAGAAAGUCAGCUAUUUCUACUGACUUUAAAGUUUAUAACACAGAAAUGGUCCAUAUGGAAAAAGAUCCCACCUCAUAUGAAGAAGCCAUGAGAAGCCCUCAUUCAUCGAUGUGGAUGAAGGCAAUGGAAGACGAGAUGAAAUCAAUGAGUUCCAAAGAUGUUUGGGCCUUAGAGGAAAUUCCUAAAGGAGCCAAAUCAGUAGGCUGCAAAUGGGUCUACAAAAUUAAGUAUGACCCUAGGAAUAUAGAAAAAUAUAAAGCACGACUCGUGGCAAAAGGAUUUACACAAAGAGAAGGGAUAGAUUACAAAGAGACAUUUUCUCCGGUCUCAUGUAAGGAUUCCUUCAGAAUCAUAAUGGCAUUAGUUGCUCAUUUUGAUUUAGAAUUACAUCAAAUGGAUGUAAAGACGGCAUUUCUCAACGGAGAUUUAAAAGAAAAUGUCUACAUGCAACAGCCCAAGGGUUUUAUCAUGGAAGGCAAGGAAAAUAUGGGAUGCCGCCUAAAGAAAUCCAUUUAUGGAUUAAAGCAAGCCUCUAGGCAGUGGUAUUUAAAGUUUAAUCAAACGAUUAAAAGUUUUGGAUUUAAAGAAAAUAUUGAGGAUAACUGCAUUUAUGCAAGGUUUAAAAAUGAGAAAUAUAUUUUCCUAAUCUUGUAUGUGGAUGACAUUCUGCUUGCUAGCAGUGAUGUUAGUCUACUUCAAGAAACAAAGAAGUUCUUAUCCUCGAAUUUUGACAUAACAGAUCUUGGUGAAGCAUCAUAUGUUUUGGGCAUAGAAAUUCAUCGAGAUAGAAACAAUGGAGUCUUAGGACUAUCGCAGAAAGCAUAUUUAGAAAAGGUUCUUAAAAAGUAUAAUAUGCAUGCGAGUAAAGCCACACUUGCUCCUAUAGUUAAGGGCGAUAGUUUUGGGAAAUUCCAAUGUCCCAAAAACCAGUACGAGAUCGAUCAAAUGAAAGGAGUACCAUAUGCUUCGGCAGUUGGCAGCUUACAGUAUGCACAAGUGUGCACUCGCCCUGACUUAGCCUUUAUCACUGGGGUACUCGGUAGAUAUCAAGAGAAUCCAGGCAUAGAGCACUGGAAGAUGGUAAAGAAAGCAUUGCGUUAUGCGCAAGGCACGAAGGACUACAUGCUAACAUACAGGAGAUCUGAUUCCCUAGAGAUAAAAGGGUAUUCAGACGCAGAUUUAGCGGGGGACAAAGAUGAUAGAAAAUCCACGUCAGGAUACGUAUUCACCCUCGCUGGGGGAGCUAUUUCGUGGAAAAGCUCCAAACAGUCGACAGUUGCAUCAUCCACGAUGUAUGCAGAAUUCAUAGCAUGCUUCGAAGCCACGGGGCAGGCGAUAUGGCUAAAGAAAUUUGUACCCGACUUGAAAGUGGUAGAUUGUAUUCACAAACCACUAAAGAUGUACUGCGACAAUCAGCCCGCGGUAUUUUACGCUCACAACAACAAGUCGAGUAAUGCUGCCAAAACAAUAGAGAUAAAGUAUUAUGUUGUGAAAGAUAAAAUCCAGGAUCAAACUAUAAGUCUCGAGCAUAUAAAGACAAAAGAUAUGCUUGCGGAUCCGCUAACGAAAGGCUUACCGCCCAAUGUGUUCAAGGAACACUUUGCCGGCAUGGGUUUAAGGGAAAGCCUUAUGAUUCCUGGAUAGGCCCAAGAGGAACAGAAUUUGUUUCUGAACAUAACAUAUGUUGUAGCUGUAUGAUUCUAUCGGCAAUUGAGCUGUGACGAUGAAACAUGCUCUAUGUACCAAUAUGUGAUGAAACAAAUAAACUAGAAAGUAUAAGGUUAAAAGUAAAGUUGAGAUCAAGGGGGAGAAUGUUAGGUUGAUCUCUAUCCCGUUCGAACCCAACGGGUCGAACGGGCCCCUGACUCGCGCCCUGAUCGGGGGCGCCCAACUAAUCCAUUGUUGGUGGGCCCCUGUCGCCAGCGCAAUAUAAAGAGGUGGGGUGCCGGGGCACGUAUAAUGAGGUUGACCGUGCACCACAACACCACCGACACACCAAUCCAAUCUAGGGUUUUGCGCUAGGCCGACGGGAAGCUCCGCCGCCGCCAUCUCAGUCCACAUCGCCGCCGUCACCACACCACCAUGGCCGGUGCUGGAUCGAGUUCGUCCGCACCAGGAGAAGGUAGGUUACCGGAUCUCCUAGCCCACUCCGAUCUAAGGAUCUAUCAAAUUUGACUUGGCUGAAAAAAUUAAGGAGUAGGUAAAGUUGGCGAGGAUGUCAUGGCCACUAGUAUGUCUUCUGAAGACGAGGAUUUUUUACACUCUCUCUUGCAGUCCUCCAUUGUGGAGUAGCACCACGGAUUUACCAAACAACAGAAGCAGAUUCCCUUAGCGGCGCAUUCAUGACGCCAACUAGGGGUUGUGCAUAGCAUGUUUGGUAAAUUGAUCUUCUCGCCAUCUGUGUCAUCCAUGAUUCGGCCUAUGAAAUAACAAACAAACAAUUAAUUGUUAUAGAAUUAUUAUAUAGUUUAAAGUAGAAUAAAUAAAUACGCAAUAGGUUAGACAAAAGAAACAAAAGAAUAUUACUGGAGAAGUGAAGAAAUAGUGUGCUCACAUUGAGCAACAGUAGCAGAGCAUAGGAGAUAUAGAGACAGUAGGGCUAGUGCAAAAAUGCGGAUCCUGUACUUGUCCAUAGCCGACCCGGCACACCACUGGAAUGUAGAUCACUUCCGUUGUCGACGAUAAGUAUUUGCUACCAAUCAACACAUGACCUAACUCGUAUAUAUAGAGAGAGGUUGACAUAAGAGAGAUCCGGUGCUAUAACUCACCACGAUCCUGUGCCGUAAACAACAGGAAAUAAAACUAAAAUUAAAGGACUGCCCCGAUCAUGCGCAUAAAUCAAUCAAGAUAUUUUCCUCCAUUUUUAGACAAGUUUACAAGUUUCAAAACCCUAGCUCUGGGCUUCCACCGCCGCCGACCCAGACCAUCUCUCGAGCCGGACCUAUGGCGUAGGAUUCCGGGGAGAACCUGCUGGUGCACCUCUCGCGCACGAGCCCCCACCACAUGAGGCUCACUUUCUCCGUGCACAGGACGGAUGUUUCAUGAUGCAAACCGAUCAGCGAGGCCGGCUGUGAUGGUAUGUUGCUUUCCUUUGUAUGUAUUUCUCCGUGGGUUCUUCUUCUACUAGAUCGGGAUCGCCUCUUGACGCGAGGGUGUCGGUGCCAACGUUUUGAUCAAGCAGGCAACACUAAGUCAGUAGUAAUCUAUGUUUAGCAUAUGCUAUUAAACUAUGAUCACUGAAAAGGUUAAUGCGUAGAAGCAGAAAAUUGCCUUUACAGUUAACAUAAUAUUUUUAACAUAAUUGUGUCCAAUACACAUCAUCUGUCCAGAUAACACUAAAUGGGAAGUGCAAUAAGUCACACCAAAUUCUCAGCAAUAUUUUGGCUUCAAAAGUAAACCAACAUGAUGGAGGGUCACAAAAUAGAUACAAAGUGCGGCCUGCUAGUCAACCCGGUAGUACAAGUAUAUUUCAAAGGUAAGAGAUGUCACACGUAUAUAUAGACAACUGAAUCAUUAUCCUGGAUUCUGAAAGGAAGAUGUAGGAGGAUGCUUGUAAUAGUAAUGGUUCAGUUAUUAUAGAGGAUUUGAUGGCAUUUCCUUCCAAAUAUUGAUGUCACAGAAACCGUAACACGAUUUACCGAAAUCAAGUCUUAAUGCUUGUGAAGAGACAGAUAUAUAUUGUUCAUCUACAACAUAUAUUGAUAAUAAUAUAUCAUAUAACUUUGUUUGAAUAACUCGCUCGCUAGGGCGUAGUGACAAAGGACUUGUUGAUGGUGAUCACGUUCUCGCUCCGUCUCGCCACGCGGUAGGCCAUGGUGAGCAAGCCCUGCCAGACUCUCAAGCUGCAGGUGAGACUAAAUGUGGGUGUCCCACCACAGCCCACUUGUUCUCACCAAAGUUUGGUGAGUGAUAACUAACAACCCAGUAAAUCAUAAGUGGAUCAGCUAGUCAUAAGUGGGAUUCCACUAAAACAAUGUACAUCUCAUUCCUUUUCAUAGAGUUAGCUCAACCUUGGUGCGAAUGUGAUAUCAGUCCACAUGUACAUAAAUAAUUGUGAUAAGAAUUCCACUAAACAAAUGUAUAACUGAGCAAGCAAGCACACUGUAGCAAAUAUGAUAGAUCUAAAUAUAGUUCGAUGUCAAAUGAGAUCGAGUAUCAGUCCACAUGUAGAUCUACAAACUGUGAACAGAUAGAAAACUGUGAACAGAGACACCGAGUACAUCUAAAAAUGCUAAAAUUUAUGAUGAAUUUGAUCGAGGCAUACAUAUCUCUAUUAGCCCACAUGUACUCGAUAAGGCUACAUUUCUAAACAUGGUGGACGCAAGCCCUUUAUUUCUUCUGUUUCGAAUAUCUCCAAGAUGUUGAAUCCACUGGCAAGCUUUUUGAAGAGCCAUGCAAGUAUACAUAGGUCAAUUCUUUUACAGAUGAUGUACUCACCAUGAGUGAACAUUUUUAUCUCUCUAAGUUUUAUAGAACAAAAUCAAAUAGAACAGCAGAGCAUAUAUAAAAACAGUCGUAUAAUGCAGCACGCAGACCAAAUCAACACCAUUUAACAUUAUUUAUUCAGUUCAACCAUCAUCCUGUCUUAGCUCUGCCACCUUAUUGCAAUUCUUUCAUACCAAAGUCAAAUUAAACAACAUAACAAAUAUGGAAACAGGCACUUCAUACAUCAUCUUGUCUUAGCUCUGCCACUUGCACCACUGUUGUGUUGUUUCAGGCAUGUCAUUUUUUAUUGCUACAUCCACCUAAGGCAUCAAGGUUUGUCCCCAGAUUUGCUACAAUCACAUAGUCUCCGCUUUCCUAGAUUUUCAACAUAGAGAUAAAUAGUUGUCUUGAAUGCAUAAACCUGAGAAGGACACGACGCUCUGGCUGGCGCUGCAACUCCAACCCUCACUUUGCCCACCGAUAAUUAUUUCAUUACCACACAGUCUUAUGUCACAACUCGCAUCGAAUUGCCAAUAAUUCAAAUAAACUAUACUGUUUUACAAGGAUUACCCAUAAAGCACAUCACUUUUAUCGGAUGGCACAACAUCAUUCUUCUUCAAUGCUUUUUUUUAUCUAAUACAUUUUCUAUUUUGGCAAGAUAGUAUUGCAUUUCCAAAACAGAGCAAACUUAUUAUUGGUUCCUAUCAAUAAUAACUGAGCAGAAUGGUCUCUGCACAAAAACCUGGUUGCUCACACACUGAUUCGUCUCCAACGUAUCUAUAAUUUUUCAUUGUCCCAUAUGCUAUUAUAUUACCUGUUUAGGAUGUUUAAUGGGCUUUACUAAGCACUUAUAUAUUAUUUUUGGAACUAACCUACUAACCGGAGGCCCAAUCAGAAUUGCUGUUUUUUUGCCUAUUUCAGUGUUUCGCAGAAAAAGAAUAUCAAACGGAGUCCAAACGGAAUGAAACCUUCGGGAGAGUUAUUUUUGGAACAAACACAAUCCAGGAGACUUGGAGUGGACGUCAAGAAGCAAACGAGGAAGCCACGAGGCAGGAGGGCGCGCCCUAGGGGGGUAGGCGCACCCCUCACCCUCGUGGGCCCCUCGUGGCUCCCCUGACCGACUUCCUUCGCCUAUAUAUAUUCACGUACCCUGAAAACAUACAGGAGCACCAUGAAACCCUAUUUCCACCGCCGCAACCUUCUGUACCCGUGAGAUCCCAUCUUGGGGCCUUCUCGGGCGCUCCGCCGGAGGGGGAAUCAAUCACGGAGGGCUUCUACAUCAACGCCAUAGCCUCUCCGAUGAAGUGUGAGUAGUUUACCAUAGACCUUCGGGUCCAUAGUUAUUAGCUAGAUGGCUUCUUCUCUCUCUUUGAUUCUCAAUACAAAGUUCUCCUUGAUCUUCUUGGCGAUCUAUUCGAUGUAAUUCUUUUUGCGGUAUGUUUGUCGAGAUCCGAUGAAUUGUGGGUUUAUGAUCAAGAUUAUCUAUGAAAAUAUUUGAAUCUCCUCUGAAUUAUUUUAUUUAUGAUUGGUUAUCUUUGCAAGUCUCUUUGAAUUAUCAGUUUGGUUUGGCCUACUAGAUUGAUCUUUCUUGCAAUGGGAGAAGUGCUUAGCUUUGUGUUCAAUCUUGCGGUGUCCUUUCCCAGUGACAGCAGGGGCAGAAAGGCACGUAUUGUAUUGUUGCCAUCGAGGAUAAAAAGAUGGGGUUUAUAUCAUAUUGCUUGAGUUUAUCCCUCUACAUCAUGUCAUCUUGCCUAAUGCGUUACUCUGUUCUUAUGAACUUAAUACUCUAGAUGCAUGCUGGAUAGCGGUCGAUGUGUGGAGUAAUAGUAGUAGAUGCAGAAUCGUUUCAAUCUACUUGUCGCGGACGUGAUGCCUAUAUACGUGAUCAUGCCUAGAUAUUCUCAUAAUUAUGCACUUUUCUAUCAAUUGCUCGACAGUAUAUGUUCACCCACCGUAAUACUUAUGAUAUCUUGAGAGAAGCCACUAGUGAAACCUAUGGCCCCCGGGUCUAUUUUCUAUCAUAUAAGUUUCCGAUCUACUUUGUUUUGCAAUCUUUACUUUCCAAUCUACAUCAUAAAAAUACCAAAAAUAUUUAUUAUCUCUAUCAGAUCUCACUUUUGCAAGUGGCUGUGAGGGGAUUGACACCCCCUUUACCGCGUUGGUUGCAAGGUUCUUAUUUGUUUGUGUAGGUACGAGGGACUUGUGUGUAGCCUCCUACUAGAUUGAUACCUUGGUUCUCAAAAACUGAGGAAGUACUUAUGCUACUUUGCUGCAUCACCCUUUCCUCUUCAAGGGAAAAACCAACGCAUGCUCAAGAGGUAGCAAGAAGGAUUUCUGGCGCCGUUGCUAGGGAGUCUACGCACAAGUCAAGACAUACCAAGUACCCAUCACAAACUCUUAUCCCUCGCAUUAUAUUAUUUGCCAUUUUCCUCUCGUUUUCCUCUCCCCCACUUCACCCUUGCCAUUUUAUUCACCCUUCUUCUGUUUGUCUUUUUCGUUUGCUUUGAUGUCUUACUUGGCUCGUUUGAUUGUUUGGUUCGAAUACUUGUUUAUUUAUUGCUAAACAAAGAACCUAAGAUCUAUGGAUCCUCAUCCGCUUGCUAAUCUUUUUAAGAGAUCCAAUUAUGAUGAACCAAUUGCUAGUGAGUUUUGUGCACUAGAUUAUCUUUAUGAAGUUUUGCUUGAAAUUCAUGACUCUAAAAAUUGUGGUGAAGAAAUUUAUGAAGAGAUUCACGAUGUCUCCUUGAAUAAAAAGCAUGAUUGCAAUGAUUUUACUAUAAAUUCUCUUGAUGUCAAUUUUGUUAAUAACAUGCAAAACCCUAAGCUUGGGGAUGCUAGUUUUGCUAUGUCUACUACUUGUUGCAAUGAUCAUGAUUGGGGUGAUUCUUCUUAUGAUCUUCAAAAUUUAUUUAAGCCCCAUGAUGAAUAUGAGAUUGAUAAUAGUGUUUGCAAUAAUAUUGAAAGUGGGUUUGGAAGAGUGUCAACUUUAGAUCCCACAUAUUUGGAGUAUGUUCAAUCUUAUGAUAUUUUUGAUAAAAGUGGGUUUGGAGAGGUCAUGACUUUAGUUAAUGUUAAUCCCACUAUCUUGGAAGAGUGUCAACUUUGGAUGCAUGUGGGUCGUGUUGAGAAUAUGUUUUGUGAUAGCUAUAUUGUUGAAUUUGCUUAUGAUCCUAUAUGUAAUUAUUAUCAGAGAGUAAAAUAUGGUUGUAGAAAUUUUCAUGUUACUAAAUUACCUCUCGUCAUGUUGAGUUUGCUAUCGUCUCUUUCUUCUUCCUUGCAUAUGCUAAUUUUUGCUUUUUAUAAUAAUUUGUUUGCUUAUAAAAUUCCUAUGCAUAGGAAGUAUGUUAGACUUAGACGUGUUUAUCAUGUGUUUUACGAUGCUCUCUUUGCACUUCAAUUCGUGUCUUUCAUGUGAGCAUCAUUAAAAUUAUCAAUGCCUAGCUAAAAGGCUUUAAAGAAAAGUGCUUGUUGGGAAACAACCCAAUAUUUUUACUUGCUGUUAUUAAAUAAAUAAUUCAUAUAGCCUUUGUUUAGAUAUGGUUUUAUAUUUUAGGUAGUGUUUGUGCCAAGUAGAACCUAUAGGAUCAUUUUCGGUGAUAGUUAAUUUGAUCUUGCUGAAAAAACAGAAACUUAUGCGCGCGCGAGAAUAAUUUUAAUAAAUCACAGAAACAUGAUUUUCAGUUGAUUCUUUUUGCAGUAGAUUAGUAGACAAAUUUCCUAGGACUUCCUAUUUUGGUAGAAUUUUUAGGAUUCUAGAAGUAUUCGAAAGUUACAGAUUUCUACAGACUGUUCUGUUUUUGACAGAUUCUGUUUUUCGUGUGUUGUUUGCUUAUUUUGAUGAAUCUAUGGCUAGUAUCAGGUGGUAUGAACCAUAUAGAAGUUGGAAUACAGUAGGUUUAAAACCAAUAUAAAUAAAGAAUGAGUUCAUUACAGUACCUUAAAGUGGUUGUUUGUUUUCUUGCACUAAUGGAGCUCAUGAGAUUUUCUGUUGAGUUUUGUGUUGUGAAGUUUUCAAGUUUUGGGUAAAGAUUUGAUGGAUUAUGGAAUAAGGAAUGGCAAGAGCCUAAGCUUCGGGAUGCCCAAGGCACCCCAAGGUAAAAUUCAAGGACAACCAAAAGCCUAAGCUUGGGGAUGCCCCAAAAGGCAUCCCCUCUUUUGUCUUCAUCUAUCGGUAACUUUACUUGAGGCUAUAUUUUUAUUCACCACAUGAUAUGUGUUUUGCUUGGAGCAUCUUGUAUGUUUGAGUCUUUUCUUUUUAGUUUACCACAAUCAUCCUUGCUGUACACACAUUUUGGAUAGACACACAUGCAUCGGAAUUUAUUAGAAUAAUCUAUGUGCUUCACUUAUAUCUUUUGAGCUAAAUAAUUUUGCUCUAGUGCUUCACUUAUAUCUUUUUAGAGCACGGCGGUGGUUUUAUUCUGUAGAAAUUAUUGAUCUCUCAUGCUUCACUUAUAUUAUUUUGAGAGUCUUUUAGAACAGCAUGGUAUUUGCUUUGGUUAUAAAAUUAGUCCUAAUAUGAUGGGCAUCCAAGUUGGGUAUAAUAAAAACUAUCAUAUAAAGUGCAUUAAACACUAUGAUCAAUUUGGUACUUGAUAAUUGUUUUGAGAUAUAAAGGUGGUAAUGUUAGAGUCAUGCUAGUUGGGUAAUUAUGAAAUUGAGAAAUACUUGUGUUAAAGUUGGCAAGUCCCGUAGCAUGCACGUAUGGUGAACAUUGUGUGACAAAUUUGUAGCAUGGGGUGUUCUUUGAUUGCCUUCCUUAUGAGUGGAGGUCGGGAUCGCGUGAUGGUUAAAUCCUACCAACCCUUCCCCUAGGAGCAUGCGUAGUAGUACUUUGCUUUGAGGGCUAAUAAACUUUUGCAAUAAGUAUAUGAGUUCUUUAUGACUAAUGUGAGUCCAUGGAUUAUACGCACUCUUACCCUUCCACAAUUUGCUAGCCUCUACGGUACCGUGCAUUGCCCUUUCUCACCUUGAGAGUUGGUGCAAGCUUCGCCCGUGCAUCCAAACCCCGUGAUAAGAUACGCUCUAUCACACAUAAACCUCCUUAUAUCUUCCUCAAAACAGCCACCAUACCUACCUAUUAUGGAAUUUCCAUAGCCAUUACGAGAUAUAUUGCCAUGUAACUUUCCACCGUUCCGUUUAUCAUGACAUGCUCCAUCAUUGUCAUAUUGCUUUUGCAUGAUCAUGUAGUUGGCAUCGUAUUUGUGGCAAAGCCACCUUUAUAAUUCUUUCAUACAUGUCGUUCUUGAUUCAUUGCAUAUCCCGGUACACCGCCGAAGGCAUUCACAUAGAGUCAUAUUUCGUUCUAAGUAUUGAGUUGUAAUUCUUGAGUUGUAAAUAAAUAAAAGUGUGAUGAUUUCCAUAUUAGAGCAUUGUCCCAAGUGAGAAAAGGAUGAUGGAGACUAUGAUUCCCCCAUAAGUCGGGAUGAGACUCCGGACUUUAUGAAAAAUAAAAGAGGCCAAAGAAACCCAGAUAAAAAAGAGGCCAAAGAAGCCCACCAAAAUAAAAAAAGAGAAAAAAUGGGAGAAAAAAAGAGAAGGGACAAUGUUACUAUCCUUUUUCCACACUUGUGCUUCAAAGUAGCACCAUGAUCUUCAUGAUAGAGAGUCGGAGAUGGAAUUGGAUGGUUGUGUCGUGUCGGGGUCCAUAGCUGUUUGGUGACCACACUCCCUAUUGAUGCCGGUCAUCCCCUUCUCCUCAGUGCCAGCUCGGUCCUAGCUCCCUGGUGCUUCGUUCUCGGAGGAGGGCCUCGAUGUCUGCAGCUGUGUGCUUAUCUGUUUUAUCUUCUAGGUUGUAGCUUUGAGGCUAGUUAGCUGCUUACCAGCGUCUAUGUAUCUUACCGUGUUGUUUUUCUUUCUUUGGUUCUUGUGAUCUGUAAUCCUAGCCGGUUGAUGGCUUUGUCAAUUCAAAGCCGGGCUAGGCUCGAGCCCCAUCUCGGGCUCGGUUGAUGCCUUUUCUCUAAAAAUAAAAAAAGUACGCUCUCACGUCUCCAUUCACGGAUAUGCAGGUCAACCCCUCUUCACCUCCUCUCCACUCAUCUUCUUUUCCAGAGCUAGUUGUAUGGUUGCAUGGCAAAUUGUGUUAUUGGGCUCGCCAUGUUCUGCUUUUCCUGGUUGUCGUGUGUGUUCAUGUGCAGGUUGACCAAUGGGGCUUUUCUUUUCUGGUAAAAGCCAGAGGUACUAUUCUCCAUGCAUUAGAUUUUUGUAGUUCCCUUGUUUCCAUGCUUGUUUUUUGUGGGGUGUAAAUAUAUGCUUUUUGUUCCUUGUCUGGAUUCAGGUAGGGCCUAAUAUUAUUGUUUCUUUGUGUACGGAAAUGUUGGUGGUUUUGUUCCUUUAUGUAUGGAAGCGUGCCAUGAUAUGAAUUUCCAAUGCUUGAGUUGUAAUUAGUGUUUUUGUUACACAUUAAAACAUAUGGUUAUUUGUCCAAUCACACAUGAAAAACAUAAGGUUUUUUGUCCAACAAUUUUCUUUCUCUGUGAUGGUUUUAAUUACUAGAAACAAAGUACUCACUAUUACUCCCUCCGUUCAAAAAUAGAUGACCCAACUUUGUACUAACUUUAGUACAAAGUUGAGUCAUCUAUUUUGGAACAGAGGGAGUACAUCAUCGUAUAUAUCUUACUGUGUCGUGAUAUAUGUAUAAACCCUAUCUACUUCCUUUUGACAUUCCAAGUUUUCUUUUUCUAUGGCAUAUAUUUGACUCCUUUCCAUGCCUUUUGACUCUAAAAUUUCCUCAUGGUCAUGUCUACUACUAUAAAGGGCACUAAAAGCCACAUCUAUUGUUAUCUACAGACUGUGUACCAUAAAUCUCUAUUUUAUACGGAAUUUCCGCCUCCUGGUAUUAGGUUAUAUGGUGAAUCGCAGUCGACCAUAGAAGCGCAAGUCACAGCUCACGCCGCUGUUCCGUCGGGGUCACUAUCGCGUCAUCAUCGUCCUCGCAUUGUGUGUGCGCUCAGGUGCUUCAUUCCAACUUCCUCUCUCAUGUUUCAUAAAUUUCAGGUUUCAUAUUUCCUUCGUGACCUUGGAGAUGGCCACUUGUCCAGUUUUUUACUUUUUGCAAUCCUGGGCAAAUCAGUAACUUUUUCUUCAAUGCCUGGUCUAGGUAGCCAUUUAUCUUGCAUCAAUCUGUGUGUAGCUAAAGAAUGUUGGUUCCAUCCAGUUUGAGUAGGUUGUCUUGAGCUCGGUACUUAAUUCUGUGGAAAGUGUGUUCUACAGAUUAAUAAUUAUAUAGGCAAAUGCAUGCCCCAAUUUAGGAUUAUUGUUACAACUGCUGGAUUUGUGAUGUUCCUACAUUCUGGUGAUGUAGUUUUAGAAUAUCCUUCUUUUGGACUAACAAAAGUUUUUUGUUUGCCUGUAGGUUAGCAAGGUGUCAAAAGAUAUAUUACCUUGGCAAAAGGUAGGUGUCAAAAGAUAUAUACCUCGGCAAAAGGUACAAAAAGAAUGAAUGAUUUACAGGGAAUGGGGACACAAUAAGAUUGACUAUAGAGUAUAUUUCUUUUAGUUUAGGAGGUUCUUAUGUGGUGGUCCUGAUGCAGCUAUGUACUCAUGUAGUGGUAUGUCUGCUCUAUUGUAAGUUUGAGGAUAACAAGGUUAGUGAAGUCAAUGAUUCUAUAUUUCCAGGUGAGAGAGCAGUUGAUUCUAUUUGCCAAUUAGUGUGUUUAAUACAUAGUGUUACUUUACAAAGGGCCAUUUUAUCUAAUGUCAGAUACUACGAAUUACAACUGACUUUAGUGUUUCUUUACAUAUAUGUUUGAAGCAAUUCUGAUUUGAGCUAUCGUUAUGUUCAUGUCAUUCUAAUUUUUUGUUGCUGCCAGUUAAUGCCCUUCUCAUUUUCUUUAGUGAUUUUUGAUUACAUGAACUGACCACUAGGACUGGCAUGUAACUGGAGUAUUCAGUGUAAAUUUUGUGGUUUGCAACUUUUUUUUAAUCAAUACAACACCUAUAUUUUUAUAUAUAGAGUAACUAUGACUACCAUGGCACUUGAGUAAUUCAGUCUGUGUACUCCCAACUUUAAUCUUCACGAACUAAACUAUGUUGAAUCCAAAUUAAAAUGCAGAUUUGACUUUCCAUAUGUAAUUAUUGGCCAUAUUGCUAUAUGAUCCAGAAAUGAAUACACUUAUAGGCAUUUCUCGAGUCCCUGAAGGAUCUAAAUCGGGCAAAUGUUAAAUUCAUGUAGUUAGCUGCAUCUAAUGCCACGUCCAAGCGAACUAAUUCAGCAAAAUAAUGCAAUUGUGAUGUGGCAGUGUCGCUGACAAGUACAUCCUUCGUCUCUUUACAGAAGGGUCUACAUUUAUUGCUUGUGUAUGUAAACAAAGAAAUCUUAUGUUUAUUCCAGUAUAACUGACGGGCACCAAUUGAUUUGGUGCAGGUAGGCCUACUCAAAGAAUGAAAACCAGAAAAUGUUCAUGUCUGGGUUGGAUAUGAUUGGAAAUUAUUGUGUGCCUUGCUUUGAGUUGUUUUCAUUCUCAUAUAAAUGCUUAAAGGAUUGUUGCUUACUAUUUUCUAAUUUGAAUGUGCUGCUACAGUUUUUAUAUGGAUUGCUAUACCUCUCUGGUUAAGGUCCCAUUGGAACUGAGAGGCAUCGUAUUUUCUAAAUUUUCCUGGGUCAGUUAAUUGAUAGCACUUUGAUGUAUUGUACUGCUUGGAACCUCUAUCAUGCUACGUUACAUUUUAUAUGCAAUGCUCCAGUGUCUUUGUUUAUGGGUUGGAUAUGAUUGCACCCGCGGGGGUGCAGCAAGCCACACUUCUAUAUAUGGAGGUUAAUUCGACAUUCCCCCGUGCGAGAUCAAACGACUUGAGCUUUACAUUGAACUGUCAUGUCAUCAAAUAUUAUGUUUGCGAGUUGAACAAGAUCUUCGUCACUCCUGGACAGAGGAUGGUAUGGACCUUAAAUACCCUGCACUUCUUACAAGUAGAGUGUUGUAGUGCCCAGCUAUAACCAAUGCAUGUUUCUUUUCGCAGUAUUUCUCUUGUCGCUUCACAAAACUGCAUCUAAAAGACCAUUUCAGUGAACUCGUCGAGGACAUGAUGGUUAGUCUGAGCAACCGAUUAAGAGGUAUGUACAUGAACCGCGUAGAAGUACUUCCAUACCAGUUGCCGCAACAGCUUGCUGGAAAGAUCUAUCAUGAUCUGGACCAUGCUGGGUAUGCAGAACGACCAGAAGAGGUGAAUGACAUCGAGAUUCCAUUGGAGCUGCCGCACUACCCAGUGGCCGCAAUGCAUGUGGUGGAUUUGGAGCCGAUGGACUAGAAGGUAUGGAUUUGUUGGUGUGUUUAAUCGAUGAUAACUGAUUUCUGAACAUUGUAUUCAAAAGGUUUAGGUAUGUAUGGUUGUCACUAGGAUGGAAGCGUUCCUUAGUUCAUAAUAAAAAGUUAUAACCUAGAUGGUGGUGUGUGCUACCUCUUGAGCAUGCGUUGGUUUUUUCUUGAAGAGGAAAGGCUGAUGCACCAAAGUAGCGUAAGUAUUUUCCUCAGUUUUUGCGAACCAAGGUAUCAAUCCAGUAGGAGGCUACACGCAAGUCCCUCGUACCUACACAAACAAAUAAGAACCUUGCAACCAACGCGAUAAAGGGGUUGUCAAUCCCUUCACGACCACUUGCAAAAGUAAGAUCUGAUAGAGAUAAUAAAUAUUUUUCGUAUUUUUAUGAUGUAGGUUGGAAAAUAAAGAUUGCAAAAUAAAGUAGAUCGGAAACCUAUAUGAUGGAAAAUAGACCCGGGGGCCAUAGGAUUCACUAGUGACUUCUCUCAAGAUAGCAUAAGUAUUACGGUGGGUGAACAAAUUACUGUCGAGCAAUUGAUAGAAAAGUACAUAGUUAUGAGAAUAUCUAGGCAUGAUCAUGUAUAUAGGCAUCACGUCCGCGACAAGUGAUCGAAACGAUUCCGCAUCUACUACUAUUACUCCACACAUGGACCACUAUCCAGCAUGCAUCUAGAGUAUUAAGUUCAUAAGAACAGAGUAACGCAUUAGGCAAGAUGACAUGAUGUAGAGGGAUAAACUCAAGCAAUAUGAUAUUUUUUUAGAAAAGGAGGAUGACCCCCGGCAUCUGCAUCUGGGCGAUGCAUAUGGCCACUUUAUUAAUUAUUCUCACAAGACCUUACAAAGUAAUACCACAGUAAGACUAAAGCCGCCGUCUAAGCAACAAAUUGUCGCUACACCUAUCCAGUUGAUGAAGGGGCGCAGAUAGCAUGGGCCUAAUACCAAACAGGCAUCGCAGCCAAACCUAACAUCUAAGACCUGAGGACCCAUCCUGGACGCCUGCCGGGCAUGGAUCUCGCCGGUCCGUCUUGCUCUCAGAGGCCGCCGCUGCCAGCUGCCACCGCUCCAUCUUCAGAACUGUACUGAUGCAUCAACCUUGGUUGGUCUAGCUAUCGUCGACGCCACCACGGCGCCCAACGGCACCUCCUCCCUGUGCGCAAACAGUUGUGCACGUCGCGGCCGCCACUGAUACACCUCAGCACCAUGCUGCCAAGUACCACCAGCCGACAUAGCUUGAAGUCUUUGGAAGAUAUGUCGUGCGUAGCACCUGCCGACCAGGCAUGACAAAGCGUAGCACCUGUCGGUCAGGCAUGACUUGACAUCUCCACCGAAGCUCUGUGCAAGACGAAGCCGCUCCACCUCCUGGCUCUGACUUCCAGCGCUGCUCCACAAAUGAUGCUCCCAAGAGAGAAACGACACCGCAGUGCCGCCAUCAUCCGAUAUGGAACACCAGAUCCUAGGGUUUCCCCCAGAGCAGCACGAGUGGGUAGACAGUAGUUACACGACAAUGCCUCCAUCAAGGUAACGACGUAGAACGCUGCCAUUGCCUGCCAACAACUCAGUUUUCACCGGCAACCAUGUCUCCCCAACUCGCAGCCGGGACUAGAUGAUGGAUCUCGAGAUCCGAUCACCAAGCCUCUGGCCGGCCAUCUUUGACAACGAAGAUGACCACCACCAUUGGCCAACGAGACGACACGAGAUGAAGUAGGGCACUGCCAGCAUGCGUCCUGGCCAGCGGCGCUAGGCCUGUCCCGAACCACGCCUCAUGGCCGAGGGCAAUGGCAAGCGCUGCCAUGACAAGGACGCAAACCAGAAGCCCAGAUCCGGCCCACCCGCACGCCGCCAUGUGGCCACCACCAAGCGCUGCUCAGGGGAAGCCCCGCCGCCGUGAGGGACGCCGCCUCAUGGCCAGCAGGCGCCAGCCCCCGGCGGAACACCGCCGCGCGCCACCGGCCGCCGCGAGAUCUGCGCGAGAACAGCGAGUACGCCCCGCCGCCACCUUCCCUGGGGACCACGCGGGCUUCGCCGAUGUCCCCUCCGGCGGCGGCAAAGUGGGGGAGGAGCGGGGAGGGGCGGCUGGCGGCACGAUUAGGGUUAGGGGCGGGGAGGGACUGCUAUCAUGUGUUCCUAGCAAGCAAUAUGAUAUAAACCCCAUCUUUUUAUCCUCGAUGGCAACAAUACAAUACGUGCCUUGCUGCCCCUGCUGUCACUGGGAAAGGACACCGCAAGAUUGAACCCAAAGCUAAGCACUUCUCCCAUUGCAAGAAAGAUCAAUCUAGCAGGCCAAACCAAACAGAUAAUUCGAAGAGACUUGCAAAUAUGACCAAUCAUACAUAAAAGAAUUCAGAGGAGAUUCAAAUAUUGUUCAUAGAUAAUCUUGAUCAUAAACCUACAAUUCGUCGGAUCUCGACAAACACACCGCAAAAAGAAUUACAUCGAACAGAUCUCCAAGAAGAUCGAGGAGAACUUUGUAUUGAGAAUCAAAGAGAGAGAAGAAGCCAUCUAGCUAAUAACUAUGGACCCGAAGGUCUGUGGUAAACUACUCACACUUCAUCGGAGAGGCUAUGGCGUUGAUGUAGAAGCCCUCCGUGAUCGAUUCCCCCUCCGGCGGAGCACUGGAGAAGGCCCCAAGAUGGUAUCUCACGGGUACAGAAGGUUGCGGCGGUGGAAAUAGGGUUUCGUGGUGCUCCUAGAUGUUUUCAGGGUACGUGAAUAUAUAUAGGUGAAGGAAGUCCGUCAGGGGAGCCACGAGGGGCCCAUGAGGGUGGGGGCGCGCCUACCCCCCUAGGGCGCGCCCUCCUGCCUCGUGGCUUCCUUGUUUGCUUCUUGAUGUCCACUCCAAGUCUCCUGGAUUGCGUUUGUUCCAAAAAUAACUCUCCUAAAGGUUUCAUUCUUUUUGGACUCCGUUUGAUAUUGUUUUUCUGCGAAACACUGAAAUAGGCAAAAAAACAGCAAUUUGGACUGGGCCUCCGGUUAGUAGUUUAGUCCCAAAAAUAAUAUAAAAGUGCUUAGUAAAGCCCAUUAAACAUCCAAAACAGGUAAUAUAAUAGCAUGGAACAAUCAAAAAUUAUAGAUACGUUGGAGACGUAUCAAGCAUCCCCAAGCUUAAUUCUUGCUCGUCCUCGAGUAGGUAAAUGAUAAAAACAGAAUUUUUGAUGUGGAAUGCUACCUAGCAUAUUUCUCAAUGUACGUAAUUUCCUUUAUUGUGGCAUGAAUGUUCAGAUCCAAAAGAUUCAAGAUAAAAGUUUAAUAUUGACAUAAAAAUAGUAAUACUUCAAGCAUACUAACAAAGUAAUCAUGUCUUAUCAAAAUAACAUAGCCAAAGAAAGAUUAUCCCUACAAAAUCAUAUAGUUAGGCCAUACUUCAUUUUCGUCACACAAAAUACUCCCAUCAUGCACAACCCCGGUUUCAGCCAAGCAAUUGGUUCAUACUUUUUAACGCACUUCAGCUUUUUCAACCCUCACGCAAUACAUGAGCAUAAGCCAUGGAUAUAUCACUAUGGGUGGAGUAGAGUAUGAUGACAGGGAUUGUGUGAGAAGACAAAAAAAAGGAGAAAAUAUCACAUCGACGCGGCUAAUCAAUGGGCUAUGGAGAUGCCCGUCAAUUGAUGUCAAUGCAAGGAGUAGGGAUUGCCAUGCAACGGAUGCACUAGAGCUAUAAAUGUAUGAAAGCUCAACAAAAGAAACUAAGUGGGUGUGCAUCCAACUUGCUUGCUCACGAAGACCUAGGGCAAUUUGAGGAAGCCCAUCAUUGGAAUAUACAAGCCAAGUUCUGUAAUGAAAAAUUCCCACUAAAGGCCCCCCCUUUAGUACCGGUUUGUGCCACGACCCGGUACUAAAGGCCUCGCGCUGCCACCCCAAAGUUUAGUCCCACCUCGCCAGGCGAAGGGCAGCCGCACUGGUUUAUAAACCCAGCCGCGGCUACCACUUCGAACUCCUCUAUAUAGCAGGCUUGUGGGCCUAAACUCUGCGCGCUGCCCUGUGAGUCUGUUGGGCCUUUAAGGCCUGUAAUUACACACCUGUGGCCUAACAGGCCCACAGGGCAGCGCCCCAAUUUUUUUUAUAGUUUUUUUCUUUUCUGCUUUAUUUUCUUCUAUUUAUUUUUGCAUAGUUUUUUGUAUAGUUUUUUCUUUUCUGUUAUAUUUAUUUUCUUCUAUUUAUUUAUGAGUAGUUUUUCAUCUAGUUUGCCAAAAUUCAACAUUUUCAGAGUUCAUUUUGUAGUGAUUUUCAAUUUCACGGUCAUUUUGUAAACGAUUGAAAAAUAGCAAAUAUAAUUUUUUUUCUUUCUGCUUUAUUUUUUCUUCUAUUUAUUUCUGAGUAGUUUUUUCUUUUCUGCUAUUUUUAUUUUCUUCUAUUUAUUUUUGAGUAGUUUUUUUAUAUAGUUUUUUUCUUUUCAGCUAUAGUUUUUCUUUCUUUUCUGCUAUUUUUUCUUUUCUGCAAAACUUGAUGGUCAAAGUCUGGAGUUAUAACUUAAAAAAAAUGUCGACAUGCAAUUAGUUUUUGCCAUAAGAGAAGAAGUCCGGAGUUGUAAUAAGUUAUGAAAAAUAAAAAAGAGGUGCAAUGCUCGUUAAUUUGCUUUAAGCCUUUCAGAAUAGUGUAAACUGCACUGCGCAUAGCUCCGUGCAGUCUACCGUAUUCCUGAAGGCUUGAAGCUAAGCAACGUGAGCAUUGAGCCUCUUCUUCAUCGUCUCUGCACUCAGGGCUUAUAAACCGCUCCUAGUCCCUCUCACUUCGCGAGGUGGGACUAAAAACAGCUUACGUCUGGUUCAUCCAUGAAUCGGUACUAAAGGUGCUCGUGGGGCCCCAGCCUUACCUGACACAACCUCAUUAGUACCGGUUCAUGGUAUGAACCGGCACUAAAUGGUGAUGGUGCGGCCAUAGCCUGACCGGAGGCUGACACAUCCUCUUUAGGUACAAAAAAGUACAAACUUUCUGUUAGUGCCCGUAGUUUUCAAAUUUGAAUAGUUUAAAUUUUGAAUUAUUUGAAAUUAGUGUGAAUCACUAGUUUGUGAAUAACUUAACUUUAAAAAUCAGUAAAGGCAUGAAAGAAUUUGUUUGCACAUAAAAUUUCUUCGCGUUUCAAAUGUCAAAACACAUAACUACCCUAACUAUUACAGAGAUUCCCCUUUGGGUGUGAAACACAGAAGAAAGUGAUGAUAGUGAAGCCGAUCACAUCCCAGAUCUUUGGGUGUGAAACUUUUUCUUCGCGUGUGUCCCUUUGCGCCGUAACCAUGGAAAAUCUUCAUCAUUUAACGGGAUGCUCGGGUCAAUAUUCACUGUGAAUGGAGCAAUUUCAUCAAACUUUUCAUAAUCUUCUGACUUGUCUGUCUUGUCAUCCACUCCCACGAUGUUUCUCUUCCCAGAAAGAACUAUGUGCCGCUUUGGCUCAUCGUACGAUGCAUUCGCUUCCUUAUCUUUUCUUUUUCUUGGCUUGGUAGACAUGUCCUUCACAUAGAAAACCUGUGUCACAUCAUUGGCUAGGACGAAUGGUUCGUCUGCAUACGCAAGAUUGUUGAGAUCCACUGUUGUCAUUCCGUACUGCGGGUCUUCCGUUACCCCGGCUCAUGUCAUAUUGACCCAUUUGCACCGAAACAAAGGGACCUUUAAACCACAUCGAUAGUCAAGUUCCCAUAUGUCCUGUAUAUAACCAUAAUAUGUUUCCUUUCCCGUCUUGGUUUUUGCAUCAAAGCGGACACCACUGUUUUGGUUGGUGCUCUUCUUAUCUUGGGCGAUCGUGAAAAAUAUAUUACCAUUUAUCUCGUACCCUUUGAAAGUCAUUAUAUUCGAAGAUGGUAACUGGGACAACAAGUACAGGUCAUCUUCAAUAGAGGUGUCAUGCAUGGUACGUGUCUGCAACCAGCUGGCGAAACUCCUGGUUUGUUCACGUGUAAUCCAGUCAUCAGACCGCUCCGGGUGUUUGGAGCGUAGCAAAUUCUUGUGUUCAUCCAUAUACGGAGCCACCAAGGCGAAAUUCUGUAGAACUGUGUAGUGUGCUUCAGUGAGAGAAUGUCCGUCCAUACAUAUUAUUUGUUCUCCUCCUAGCGUGCCUUUUCCAUCCAGUCUGCCCUUAUGCCGCAAUUCAGGAACACCAAUCGGCUUAAGGUCAGGAAUAAAGUCAAUACAAAACUCAAUGACCUCCUCAUUUUGAUGGCCCUUAGAGAUGCUUCCUUCUGGCCUAGCAUGGUUAUGAACAUAUUUCUUUAAGACUCCCAUGAACCUCUCAAAGGGGAACAUAUUGUGUAGAAAUACAGGACCCAAAACGUUAAUCUCUUCGCAUAGGUGAACUAGGACGUGCGUCAUGAUGUUGAAGAAGGAUGGUGGGAACACCAACUCGAAACUGACAAGACAUUGCACCAAAUCAUUCUGUAAACUUGGUAUGAUUUCUGGAUCGAUUACCUUCUGAUAGAUUGCAUUGAGAAAUGCACAUAGAUUCACAAUGGCUAAUCGAACGUUUUCCGGUAAAAGCCCCCUCAAUGCAACCGGAAGCAGUUGCGUCAUAAUCACGUGGCAGUCAUGAGACUUUAGGUUCUGAAACUUUUUCUCUGCCAUGUUUAUUAUUCCCUUUAUAUUCGACGAGAAGCCAGACGGUACCUUAAUACUGAGCAGGCAUUCAAAGAAGAUUUCCUUCUCUUCUUUGGUAAGAGCGUAGCUUGCAUGACCCUGAUGUAUGCCGUCUUCUCCGUGCAUACAUUGCUGGUCCUCCCGUGCCUCAGGUGUAUCUUUUGUCUUCCCAUACACGCCCAAGAAGCCAAGCAGGGUCACGCAAAGAUUCUUCGUCACGUGCAUCACGUCGAUUGCGGAGCGGACCUCUAGGUCUUUCCAAUAUGGCAGGUUCCAAAAUAUAGAUUUCUUCUUCCACAUGGGUGCGCGUCCGUCAGCGUCCUUUGGAACAGGUUGUCCGCCAAGACCCUUUCCAAAUAUCACCUUCAAAUCCUUGACCAUAUCAUGUACAUCAGCACCAGUACGGUGGCGAGGAUUCGUCUGGUGAUCCGCCUCACCUUUGAAAUGCUUGCCUUUCUUUCUUACGGGAUGCCUGCUCGGAAGAAAUCGACGAUGUCCCAGGUACACAUUCUUCUUACAACUAUUCAAAUAUAUACUGUCAGUAUCAUCCAAACAGUGCGUGCAUCCGUGGUAUCCCUUGUUUGUCUGUCCUGAUAGGUUAUUGAGAGCAGGCCAAUCAUUGAUGGUCACGAACAGCAACGCCUUUAGGUCAAAUUCUUCCCCCAUGUGCUCAUCCCACGCACGUACACCUGUUCCAUUCUACAGUUGUAAGAGUUCUUCAACUAAUGGCCUUAGGUACACAUCAAUGUCGUUGCCGGGUUGCUUAGGGCCUUGGAUGAGCACUGGCAUCAUAAUGAACUUCCGCUUCAUGCACAGCCAAGGAGGAAGGUUAUACAAACAUAGAGUCACAGGCCAGGUGCUAUGGUUGCUGCUCUGCUCCCCAAACAGAUUAAUGCCAUCUGUGCUUAGACCAAACCAUACGCUCCUUGCAUCAUCUGCAAACUCCUUCCCGUACUUUCUUUCGAUUUUUCUCCACUGCGACCCGUUAGCGGGUACUCUCAACUUUCCGUCUUUCUUACGGUCUUCUCUCUGCCAUCGCAUCACCUUGGCAUGCUCUUUGUUUUGGAACAAACGUUUCAACCGUGAUAUUAUAGGAGAAUACCACAUCACCUUGGCAGGAAUCUUCUUCCUGGGGCGCUCGCCCUCAACAUCACCAUGCUCAUCGUGGAUGAUCUUAUAGCGCAAUGCACCACAUACCGGGCAAGCGUUCAAAUCCUCGUACUCACCGCGGUAGAGGAUGCAAUCAUUAGGGCAUGCAUGUAUCUGCUGCACCUCUAACCCUAGAGGGCAGACAGCCUUCUUUGCUUCGUACGUACUCUUGGGCAAUUCGUUGUCCUUUAGAAGCAUAUCCUUUAUCAUUACCAGUAACUUUCCAAAUCCCUUGUCAGAUACACCAUUCUCUGCCUUCCAUUGCAGCAAUUCCAGUGUGGUGCCCAGCUUUUUCUUGUCACCUACGCAAUUCGGGUACAACAAUUUUUUGUGAUCCUCUAACAUGCGCUGCAACUUCUUCUUCUCUAAAUCACUUGCGCAGUUUCUCUUUGCAUCGGCAAUGGCCCGACCUACCACCCGGUACUAAAGGGGGUCGCUUCCCGUCGCUUGGCCUGGCCAAAACAGGCCUUUAGUAUCGGUUGGUGGCUCCAACCGGUACUAAAGGUGCCUUCUAUAUAUACAAGACUUACGAAAUUUUCAUUCUUCCUAUGUUUCCGUCGUCUCCGUCGCCGUCGCCGCCCCCGUCCCCGUCGCCGCCCCCGUCCCCAUCACCGCCGUCGUCUCCGUCGCCACCCCGGGCCCGUCCCCGUCGCGCCGUCCCCGCGUCGCCGCCCCCGCGUCACACCCCGGCCCGUCACCGCCCCCGACCGUCGCCUCGCCGUCGCCGUCGCCCCGCUGUGAGCUCUCCCCCUCUAACCCCUCUCCCUUGCCCCCGGGGGCCACCAUGGGCGCCGCCCCUCUCCGAGCACAUACACACACGCACACACACAAGCAUGAUGAACACACACACACACACAUGUAUGAAUUAAUGCAUGUAUAUAUUAGUAUAUACGUAUUUUGUAUGUUUAAUUAGUUUAGAUUAUUUAGAUUAUUAUUUUUUCACUAUUAUAUAUGUAUGAAUGCAUGUUAGAUGGAUAUAAUUAGUGUUUAAUUAGUAUGGAAAUUUUUUAUAUAAUGUUGUUUUUCAGUUUUUUAAUGGAUGUAUAGAAGUUGUGUUUUCUGUUUUUAGUGUUAGAUGCUUAAUUAGUAUGAAAUAGUAUAUAGAUUUUUGAAAUAGUAGAAAUGUUAGAAAUUUUAGUUAUCAAAAUCCAAUCAUUAAAAAAAUGUUACUUUUUGCGGGCAUAUAGCUAGUAUUUGUUCUCGACGAUGCCCGGCCCGCAUCCUCGCCGUCGACCCGUCCGCGACGACGUCCAGCCGACCCAUGUCCAGGACUGGGCUCCGUCGGGCUGGCACUGGGAGGUGCUGCCUGGAGGGGCGCGCCGCUUGAUGAGGAACCCGGCCCCGGGUCCCGUCGUCGACCCUGAUCUCGUUUGGUGGCGUUCGCGUGGGCCAGUUUCGGUGCGGAGGGACCCGGCCCCGCAGGAGGUGGUACGUCGCCGUGUGAGGGAGGAGGACGAGCACGUCCAUCACUACAUGGUUGCGUUAGAGGGCGGCAGGUUCUCCAAUACCUGGUAGUAUCUUCGAGGAUCUCACUUCAGCUAUGAUCCUGUGAGGGUUCCUUCUCUUUGGGUGUCCACCGCCCACGCCGCAGGAACCGCGAGUGUCCUAGAUUCUUCUGUAGUAUUCGAUCUUUAAUUAGCUACCUAGCCAGUGAUGUACUAUUCAAUAUUAUAUAUUAUUCGAGAUGAUGUAUUCGAGAUUAUAUCUAUUAUUCUAGACGGUGUAUUCGAGAUUAUAUCUAUUAUUCGAGACGAUGUAAUUUGAAUACUAAAUUGUUUUAUAUUUCUUUUGGAUUAGUUAAAUAAAAGCUAUGGCAGACAAUACCGACAGAGAGGGAGAACAGACCAUGUUCGAUAUGAUACGCGGGCCAGAUGAUGAUCAGAAUGAAGAAGAUUAUGACGGCUCCGAAUUUCUAAACAACACUGGAGAGGGUGAUAUGAUAUUCAAUCGCGACGACCGAAUUGAUGAAGUCAUGAACUACGGUUAUGACGAUGACGAAGAACAUGUUGAUCCUGAAACAACAAAGACCGGCGAGGUAUAUAUAUUUAUAUAAGCAGGUAUCUGGUGAUCAUCACAUGUUUUAAAUGACUUGAAGAUAUAUUAACGAAUCGAUCUUUGUUCUUUCAGCCAUCCGGAUCGAGCAAAUCUUCAGGCAAAAGGACGAAACGAGGCCAGAACAAAAAGUUGAAGGAGGGCGUAAAGUACAAUAUCGAGACAGUUAAACCUAAUGGCGAACCAUUAGCGCCUAAGAAGAUUGCGGACAAGUUCGUUCGUCAGUGCGGAGUUCUUGUGAAGGACCAACUCCCGAUCUCCCUUCAAGAAUGGAGAGAGCCAGCAAAAGACAAAAGACAAAAAGACAAAGAGGACGCUGCUCCACGUCCAGAUGUUACUUUUGUCGACAAGAAUCAAAAAGAUCUGCUUUGGGAUACUCUCAUGGAACAUUUCACCCUACCAGAUCAUUUCACAGAAGCAUAUGUGCAGAAAGUCAAGGACGCUGCUCUUAGGAAGAUGGCGGUUGCAUUCAAGAACCACAAGAAUCGUGAAUGGGACAAGUACGUCAAGGGAGGAAGGAAGACUCCAGUAUUCGAGGGAACACUAGAGAACCAACGUGCUCAUUGGGACGAUUUCGUGAAAUUCAAGGAUUCGGAAUUAGCUAAGGAACGGUCGAGAAUAAACAAGAAGAAUGCCGAAAAAAGGAUAAGUUCCAUAAGCUGGGGCCAGGUGGCUAUGCGGUGGCAAUGCCUAAGUGGGAUAAGUCUGAGAAAGAGAUGGAGGAUGCAGGUGUCACUCCGGUUACUAAGAGCUGGCCCCCCAGGUGCAGGACUUGGUUCUAUGCGCAUAGGGGGGAGUUGGACCCGAAGACAGGCAAUGUUUCGACGAAGGCAAGUCUGAAGGGAGCCGACGAUGCGAUACUUGUUGCAAUAGAAGAGGCACGAUCGGGGGUGUUCCAGCCCAAUAGAGAGAACGAUGAGCUUACGCGUGCCCUGGGAAAUCCUGAACACCCAGGAAGAACACGAGGCAAGGGCACUAUUCCGUGGUAUGAGGGGUUUUCAGACUGGAACAACGACUACAGAACCCAUGCGAGAAAGAAGAUUGCAGAGGAGAAGAAGAGGAAGAUGGAGGAGGAGCAGAGGAAGUGGGACUAUGAACGCCUUCAAGGCCUAGAAGCAAGUCAAGCGGAAUUGGCAGUCAAAUUCCAGCGGCAGCAGGAGCAGAUCGACUCACUUACCCAACAAAGGGGGUCUCAGCAGCUGCAGCAGCUAGCGGACGAUCCAGCAUUGGAUACCACCGGCCCAUCCAUGCCGAGAAGCAGCGUGGGUUCGGCCGCUCCGGACGACGCAAUGCUGGGUAGAUACCCCGUGGAUGACAUCACGGAGAACACUAACUGCGAGCUACACGUCAAAAUGAAGAACAUAUCCAUGAAGGUGGCGGACGCCGUUGCUUUUACAAAUCCCCCCGAGGCAACCUUCCAUUGCAACCCGAUUCCAGCGGGCUAUGCUCGUGUCUUGGUUGAUGAGGUGGUGGACCCACCAUAUUCGGAGCUACAGCUUGACAUUCCUGGAGGUGACGACGAGCGCUUUCUCGGAGAGGCCAAACAUCGUAUCAUCCUAUGGAAAAAGGAUUGCAUCAUCUUUCGAAGGCCACCGACACCGCGUCAGCCGACUCCUCGUCGAAGUCCGCCACCGAGUCAGCAGUCUCCCGCUCCUGCAAGUCCACCAAGUCCGGCAAAGUGUCAGGCCACUCCUCCUCCUCCAAGUCCGCCACAACGUCACACGUCCACUCCUCCUCCAAGUCCGGCACAACCUCAGGCCACUCCUCCUCCAAGUCCGCCACAGCUUCAGGCGGCCACUCCUCCUCGUCCAACUCAGCCCCGUCAGCCGUCUCCACCGCCUCAGCAAUCGCAGAAGAGACACCCCGCAGCUAUGGUGCGUAGCGGUACGAGUCGAGGUAGUACAGGAAGUACAGGCGGAGGCAAGCGAUAUAAAUAUGGUCCAAGCCUCACGCCUCUUCCGCAGAGGGCUUAUGACAGGUCCGAGGAGGAAAUCGCAGCCAUAUCGAAGGCCGAGGUGGAAGCCCAUUUCGCACCUAAACCGCCAGCGCCGCCAAGGGAGAAAGUGCCCGAGGAAACGAUUGACCAUUUCAUUCGUAUGGCUCAACCACCAGCUCCCAAGCCUGUUGACACAGACUAUGAGCGCCACAUCAGGAAGUUAAAUCAAGCACGUCUACGUAAGGAGGCGAGCUCGGGAUCGAGCAAACAAGAAGCAGCUAUCAAAAAAUGCGGGAAAACCAUUCCCAAGCUGGGAGAACAGGCGGCGCAAUCCAUCCCCUCGCUUGUUGUGCCAACAACACGUGACAGUACGUGCGCCCAAUAUUAUUGUGGGCAAACAGUUUACGUUCCCGAGGUGGGCAAUGUGGUAAUAACGGAGGAGCAUAUAAUGCAGGCUGAAGUUCUCAACAUCACUGUUGGACAACUCCACGAGAUCGAGCCCAUGCCUGUGCUUAGAGAGGAUGAAAUAAAACGGAAAUAUGUCCGGGGCCAACCUAUGGUCGAGCCAGACAAGGUCAAGAACCUCCCAGCGAGAAUGUACGAAUUGCAUCAAUGGUACAUGAACAUUACCAAGAUUUCAGAUCGAUUGUCCCUCAUGGUGAAUGUCAAGGAGGAGCAUUACUUCCAUGAGAAAGCUCUGUCCGUUGAGUAUUCUCAACUGUUUCAGUUAUACAAUAAAGACGCACUCGACAAAUCUAUCGUUAGUUGCUAUUGUCUGUAAGUGAUUUCUUUCUGUAAUUUAAGUCUCAAGCUAGCUGUAGUGAUCCUUUUGAUCAAUCAUUACCUGUAAUUAUCCUCACUAUAUUCUUUUCUGUGGUAUUAUGCAGGAUGAAGAUGUAUGAAAUGAGAAAAGGUGGACGCUUUGGCAUUGGGUUCAUUGACCCAAACACCGUUAAUGAAUACACAUGGCGGAUAAAUUCACAUCAUCAAAAGGACGUAGAGGACAACAUGCUAGAGUUCUUGAAGCGCCUCAAAUACAAUGAAGAUAUACUACUUCUUUACAACUUCCAGUGAGUCACACUGAGUACUACAAAUUCUCUGUUUUUGCCUACUAGCUAGCUACAUAUUUUUGCUUACAUAUGCCCGCUUAAUUAAGACAUGCAAACGUGUGUGCAUGCAGAUUUCACUGGGUCUUGUGUAUCAUUAAAGUUGACGACGGAACAGUUGAAAUACUGGACUCACUACUCAAAGCAAAAACUGACUAUAACAUCUUGUUUGGGAUAGUCAACAGGUAAUUUCAAUCAUUAUUAACUAUAUAUCUCGGCCUAUUUAGUUCGUCAUUUCAUGAUAUGAACUAUUUAAUAACCCCUUUAUUCAUUUUCUUUGUCGGCGGGCAGGGCUUGGGCAAGGUUCAUCAGCGUCACGGAAGGCGAAUGGAAACAAAAGCUUAAAUGGUUUCGAUCCAAGGUAAGUAAUUAAGUAGUACUAGCUAGCUAGCUAGCUACCAUCUCUUUAAUUAUCAUGCUUGAUUAAUUAUUAUCUGAUCAAAAUCCAUUCUCGUAAAGGCCCUGAAGCAGGCGCAGGGGACUGAUCUGUGUGCAUUCUGCGUUUGCGAGAACAUUCGCAUGAUGGCAUCCGAAAGGAGCAGAUCUCAAAGACAGGAAUGGGUACGCUUGUCAGAACACUAUUCACAAUUUUUACACCAUUAUCGAUAUCUAGUCACACAACUAAUACACAUGCAUAUUGAUCUCCUUCUUAACAGUUCAAAGAGGUGCAGGAGAAGCUCCUAGAAACGGAGCGCGUAGAAGCACUUCAAGAGGAAAUAGCGAGAUUUUUGCUUGACCAGGUCAUAAAUCCGAAGGGAGAAUACUAUUACCCGCUACCGCCCCCAUGAAAACCACUUCCAAUUGUCAUCGUGCUCCGAAGGCACCAAUUAGGCUAAUGCCACUGGCUCCGAAGGCAACAUCAUAUGUAGGAGAAAUUGUAUAUAGCUAUACAUGUGUGUAUGUGUGAAUUAAUUAAUAUGGUGGUUUGUGAGACAUUGAUGAUAUAUAUAUAUGCAUGAUUGGUUCUACUAGANNNNNNNNNNNNNNNNNNNNNNNNNNNNNNNNNNNNNNNNNNNNNNNNNNNNNNNNNNNNNNNNNNNNNNNNNNNNNNNNNNNNNNNNNNNNNNNNNNNNNNNNNNNNNNNNNNNNNNNNNNNNNNNNNNNNNNNNNNNNNNNNNNNNNNNNNNNNNNNNNNNNNNNNNNNNNNNNNNNNNNNNNNNNNNNNNNNNNNNNNNNNNNNNNNNNNNNNNNNNNNNNNNNNNNNNNNNNNNNNNNNNNNNNNNNNNNNNNNNNNNNNNNNNNNNNNNNNNNNNNNNNNNNNNNNNNNNNNNNGGUUGGUCUUACCAACCGGUACUAAAGGGCUCCAGGCCCCCGGAGCUGGCUCGUGCCACGUGGUUGCCCUUUAGCACCGGUUCAUGCUGAACCGGUACUAAAGGGGGGGGGGGGUCUUUAGUGCCCACACUUUAGUGUCGGUUAUGGAACCGGCACUAAAGGGCCUUACGAACCGGUGCUAUUGCCCGGUUCUGCACUAGUGAGGCAGGGAGAGCCCGACGAGCGGCCGGACGAGGAGGAGGACGCCCCGGGCCGCUCCAUGCGCCUCGGCGUCCAGGAGCUCCCACGGCGGCGUGAGAAGGCCGGGGGAGCGGGGUACUCGGCCUCGAAAAGGAGGCGAGCCUCGUCCUCGUGAAGAUGGCGGCGCCCGAAGCCAUUCGCCGCCGCGCCGUCGCCUGGGAAGCGUUCGGCCAUUCUUCUGAACUGGAGACGGCGAGAGGAGGAAGGGGGGGAAAUGGGCGCGUCGGCGGUGGAGUAUCUGUGCGUGUCUCCGGCGCGCUGGUUGUCGGCUUAUAUAGGCGGAGGCGCCGCGUGGUAGGCUUGGCCGGCACGUUAUGCAUGGCGGGAGGCGUGGCUGGCGAGGAGACGCGCGUCGCCCGGCCUUCACUGCGCCGCCCGUGAGGCAUCAAUGGAGGCUGACCGGCGUGGCAGCGCGCGCAGCUUUGGCAUUGAUUCGCCGCGGGAAACGAGGCGAUGAGGACAACGAAGCGGCGAGAAGAGAGUCGAGUCGCUGGCAAGGGGGGCCCGCGGCUCUUCACGCCAAAAACGAUUCGCCCGGCGCCCCCGAGCAUCCCCUAGCGCGCCGGGUUCGGGUUGGAUCCGCCGACGCCAAUUUCGGCCCGAGCCAGCGAAAACUGGGCCCUUGGGGGCGUGACUGGGCCGAUUUUUUGGCGUCGGCGGCCGAAAAAUCGCCUGAGGGGCCUUGUUGGGGGCGCGGCUGGAGAUGCUCUAACAAACUGCGUAGUAGAAUCAAUGUAUGCCUUCAUUGCCUACCGCCGGGUUUUUUGACGGUAGGGUUACACGGCCUACCGGCGAAGGGCCUGGCGGUAGGGUAUUUUCCACGUUAAACAGACGUAACGACGCAGUUAAGUCCUACAGCCAAGGGCCUUGGCGGUACGUUGUGUUAUCCUACCGCCAAGACCAACGGUGAUAGAAAAAAGAUAAACUCAACUCACGUCAUAUUGGUAGACUACAUUUAAUCAUGGCCGUGGGUGGUGACUGCAUUCCAUGUUCCCGCUCAAAUGUAGUAUGCAUUCACCACCCACAGCUAACAUAUAUCUCUCCACCAAACCGCUCGCUUUGUCGAAUAGUCCUAUAGUAGAAAUUCACCAAACAUAGUUUUAGUAUGUCUCAAUACCAAGUGAUGCAAACCGGUCUCGACAAAAAUUCACCAAGAUAUCUUAGGUAGGUAUAAGUAUGGAUGGGGUUCUGAUACUCCAUGAGAUCAUACAUAGUUUACAUGCUGGUAAAAAGAAUAUGAUUGUAUUUAAAAUGGAUUUCGAAAAGGCUGUCAUAUCAACUGGGCUUUCCUUUGUGAAAUCAUGAAACUUAAAGGGUUUUCUGAUCAAGUUGUUGAUCUGAUUAUGAGUGCUAUGGUGGAUGGCAAGGUAUGUAUCAAAGUCAAUGAUGAACUUUGGUCCAAACUUCACUACAAAGGUGUAAAGGCAAGGUGACCUUCCACUGCUUUUCAGCCAUUCCGACAUCUAAUUAAUGUCAUGUGGAAGUGCCAAUGGAGCUAUGGAAGACUUGCUUCCAUAGUUUCGCUUGAUGGCGCGAACUAGUGUGAGAUGCCCGAGGAUGGAGUCAACGGCGCAUUGGCUGGUCACUUGGUUCUCGAUUCAAGAUACAACGAGGACAAUGCAAACCUUGUGGCCGGCAAGGAGCUAGCCAGCUAGGAGCAGACUUUUCAAUGGAGGAUGUGUAACAUUAAAAAAAAUAUCAGGAAAUUUUUAAAAAAUCUGAAAUUUUGGGAUAUAUAAAACCUGAGUGCCCAUUGUACACCUGUGUUCAUAUUCGUAGGGAAUGGGUGCUCGUGGUAUCCGCAGCGCAGGAACUACGGUCUGACAUACAUUACACCUAGUUUUUUUCUACACAUGUGGGUUUUUUGUCUUUUUUCCUGACAUUACCACGGGCACCUAUUCCCCACGAAACAGAACACAUGUAUAUAACGGGCACCCAGGUUUCAUAUCCUAAAAUUUUAUUUUAUUUUUUUAAAUUUCAUAAUAUGCUUUUUAAUGUUAGAUUCAUAUAGGGGUGUGUGGCACCCGAGAGCCAUAAAUCCCUCCGCUAGAAGCCAUUCAAUGUUUCCUUUCUUUCAAAACCUAACUGGAGUAGGUAGCCAACAUAAUUUAGUUCACUGACGUCACUAGAAACUGCAAUAUGAGAUAUCGCCUGCAAUUCUAUCAUGUCCCCGAUAUGUUUGGUCAUUGCCACGGUGCAAAGCGUCUUCUUAAAUUGGACGAGACCAUUUACAAUAAUCCAUUCAUAAGUCCAAUACCCAGAAAGUAGAUACUUUAGCUUUGGCAGAAAAACUGAAUUUUUGGCGAAUGCUUGUACAUUUGUGUGACGGAUGUCCAAGGUCUCUAGGGACUGAAGCUUGUCGAGCUGCUUCGGUAGUUCAGUGAUGUUGUAGCUUGCGAAUUACAGAUCAGAUUGCUUUGGAUUUUUUUUCCUCUCCUACAUAUAGCUUUGGUCGUAUAUGACUUUGCUAUUGCCUCGUGUUUUAGUGUGUGUGUGGUGUUGGAUGUAUGCAUUCUAACUAUACGGAAGCCGGAUGUGCUUAUUGUAUUUGUAUCCUCUUAAUGCUUCAUUUUGAGACAAUAAAAUCCACAUUUGUCGAAAAGCGGCGGCGCACUUCUGAAGACCAAAGAGCCCAAGCAAGCCAAGGACAUUUCUCUUCAAGUUGAAGUAAUCAUCAUACAAUCCACAUAUAGCAGCAGCAACAGACGCCUCGAAAGACGAGUAAACAAAACGAAUAAAGUGGCAGAAAAACAAAAGGCGACCACUGAAAAGAAAAGCCAAAGCAACAUUGCGAUUUACAAAAUCUGGAGUGGGGUAGACAGUUAACUUUUCUUUUUUUACUUUGAACCUUGGGCAGAGAGUUACCUGCCUGACAUAGGAAACGAACCAAAAGGAAACGAGAGAAGGUCGAUUGGGUCGGAUCACGCUGCAGACACACAAACACAAACAUGGCAUGACAUCCCAGUGACCGACAGGCUAAAUUUACCCAGGCCCUGCCACCACAGCGCACCCAUACCUGAUACCCCGCCAUCCCUCCCUUCCUUCUUCCCCACACAGAGAGAGCCAGCGGCGAGCCCAACGGGAAGCUGGCGAGGCGACCGCAACCUAACCGCCCACCUAAGUCUACAGCGCCUCUCCACGCCACCGCCAAUGCGCCCUUUACCCCCUGCCGCCGUCCGCCCGUAGCUACACAACCUCCAUUAAAAGGUUUGCUCCUUGCCGGCCGGCAACCUUGCAUAUCCUCGUCGAUAAACCGGGAGAUCGAUCGACCGGAAGGAUGGCGGACAUGAUCCUGGGCUCGGCACAGGGAGCCGUGGACUCCCUCCUGGGGCGUCUGACAUCGGUCCUCGUUGACGAGGUGCAGCUGCUUGGUGGUGUCCGCAGCGACGUGCAGUUCAUCAAGGACGAGAUGGAGAGCAUGAACGGCUUCCUCCUGCACGUUGUGUGCAGAGGCCGACGAGGAGGACCACCAAGUCGGAGCGUGGAUGAAGCAAGUCGCGGAGGUCGCCUAUGCCUCCCGGAACAGCAUCGAUCGGUACAUUCAGAGGAUCGGUGCUGGCCGCAGGGAGCCAGGCCUCCUAGGCUACCUGGGGCGGCUGCCCAAGUUGGUGUGGACGUUGCCGGCGAUGCGUCACCGCAUCGCCAAUCAGAUCCGGGAGCUCAAGAUCCGGUCGUGCGAGGUGGGGGGGAGGCGCAUGAGGUAUGACGUCAAAGUGCCCGAGCCCAACGGAGACCGUGCAAAGUUCAUGAAGAAGGCAGGGUGGCAAGCUGCCAGAAAUGAUGACACCAAGGAGCAGGAAGAUGCUCAACGGCGUGACUUGGCUGAUGCUCUCCAGUCGCCUAAGAAUACCUACUAUGAGAGCACCUUGAUAAAGCUGUUGACGGAUGUAGGACAGGACCAUCUUAAAGUCCUAGCAAUUGUAGGAAUGGGUGGCUUAGGCAAAACUACUCUCGCUCGGAGAGCUUGGCAGAGUGUGGUAAGCUCAUUUGACUGCAAGGCUUGGAUCUGCGUAUCCAAUUCAAAUUCAGAUUUCAUGUUCUUCCGGGAGGUCCUAGAAGCACUGGCCAGUCCAUCAGAUCAAUUCGAUUUGGAUGGCAAGAAGGAGGAAGAGCUUAUGGCACAGCUUCAGUUGCACCUGAAAGGUAAAAGAUUCUUGCUUGUGUUUGAUGAUGUCUGGGGUAUAUCUUGGGGAAGAGCUCUAUGGAAUCGUAUCAAAUCUGCUUUCCCCCAUGAGAAUUGCUCUGCUGGUAGUGCCAUACUGAUUACCACACGUUCGAUUGAUGUGGCCCACUCAUUUUCUCCCAAUGAAUACUUAGAUUUGGACACUGAUAGUUAUUUCUAUGUGUGCAACGCAAUGGACCUAAUGAACAGCAACAACCAAAGCACUUAUCUGCGGCCUCUUUCACGGGAAAUUGUCUCAAAACCCUUGCCAGUCAGGUUGUUUCUACGUGCUCUCUAUGUCAAUCCUAACAGGACCAAAGCUGAUUUGCAGAGUCUGUGUGACAGCCUGGACAGCUCCAAACCAUCAAUGACGAACAAUGUAAGGCAACUACUCACGUUCUGUAAUCUGAGUAGCAACUGCAAGAAUUGUUUGCUAUAUAUGUCUAUUUUCCCCCGAAGAUACAAUCUUUGAACGGACAAGAUUGGUAAGAAGAUGGGCCGUUGAAGGCAUGACUGCCAAAAGAGGCAGACUAAGUGCGCUGCAUGAAGCUGACCACUGUUUUGAAUUGCUUGUCGCCCACCGGCUUCUUAUACCGAUGGGCGAUGGACAUGGCUGUUACAGGAAAGGUGAAGAGCUGUAAAAUGCAUGAGAGCAUCCAUUACAUUGUUACAGAGAUUGCAACAGAAGAUAAUUUUGUAAAGAACAGCCAUCAGCCAGACUUGGCUUAUCGCCUUUCGGUUCACUAUGAAGUCUAACCACAGCAAGCUGAGAAGGAACAAUAUGCAACUUGUUCCCAAGCCUGUUGGGAUAUUUGUCGCCCUUCCCGUCCAAGUGAACAAACAACAGUUGAACAGUCCAAUGCCACAGCCACUCAAGAAUUUUUGGAGUCGCUUCCUUCGUCGACUCACUUGGGGAUUCUGAAGGUGCUUGAUCUAGAAAACUGCAAUGAAUUGAAGAACCACCAUCUGAAAAACAUUUGCAGCCAUGUGUUACACCUGAAGUACUUGAGCCUUCGGAAAACUGGCAUUACUCAACUACCCAAGCAGCUUGACAAGCUUCAGUCCCUAGAGACCUUGGACAUUCGUCAAACAGAAGUAAAAGCAUUCGCCAAAAAUUCAGUUUUUCUACCAAAGCUAAAGCACCUACAAGCUGGACACUGGACUGAUGACACAACCCAAGGUAGCGACCAAUCUGAAGAGACAUUUCUCACCGUGUCGCUGCCCAAACGUAUCGGGGACAUGACAGAACUGCAGGUGCUAUCUCAUAUUGCAGUUUCUGGCAAAGGCGAUGAACUAAUUGAUGUUCGCAACCUACUCCAGUUGGUUAAGUUGGGUGUGGUUCUCUCUGGGAGCAAGAGAUCAGUCUUCUGGCAUUUGUACCAUGCAAUUGGAAAGCUUAGGAAAUGUCUUCGCUCACUGUCAAUCCGUGUCACAGAACUGACAAGCAACGAAGAGGAUGACAACAUGAACAUUGAAGAAGCACCCCUCAUACAUCCCAAGUAUCUUCAGAAGCUAAAAAUCAGUGGCCUGAAAUAUGGAUUGCCCUCAUGGAUUAAAAAGCUCGACGUACUUACCAAAAUAACCCUCCAUAUGACUUUCAUAACGGAUGAUGACUUCAAAUUCCUCGGAGAGCUUAAAAGCUUGUCCUGCCUUAGGCUCCAACGAGAGUCAUGCAAUGAAAACACACCCACCUUCAAAAAAGAUGCAUUUCAAAGUCUCAAGUUCCUGGAUAUUGAGUGCUCAGCCAUUACCAGUAUCAAAUUUGUCAAAGAGGCAUCUCCUAUGCUGAAGAAGUUAGUUUGGUCUUCUACUCGUGAACAGUCUCUUUCUGGGAUUGAGGACCUUCCAAGUUUCCGAGAGCUCAAGUUGACAGGCAUCUUUGACUUGCAAAGUGUGGAACAAGCAAUGGCAGCAAACAAGAACAAGCCUAUCUUGGUAGCAAACCCAAUAAAUGCUUAGGUUCAGGAGAUGAUGCGCAUUUGCUCCUUGACCGACCUUACCGGAUGCCUCGAUGCUGCUCUUAUUAUCAAGGAAAAGCUUUUCACUCUUCGUGGAUUAUUGCUAUCCACUUCCACCCCUAUAUAUUUGGUUUACUUUGUUGUGUGAGUUAUUCGUGCACUGCGGUGAUUGAACUGGAAUGUGUUUGUUCAGGCCGCUCUCAGAUUCCAGUUAAGUGUUGUUGUGUUGUGUGGUGUUGUAUCGUGUGCUAUUGUUAGCAUUUGUCCACCCAAAAAAUGUAUUUCCUUCAAUAAAAAUCAAGCGCUGUUGCUCUUGUGCGUACAAGGACAAGUAUUAGCAUUGUGGUAUCAGGGUGAGUAUUAUUAUCUGCGUUAUGCAUUUUAAAAUGCCUGCGGCGUUUAUUUUAUUACAUACCCGAGAGCAAAACUAUGCUUCUAUAGUCUUCUAUAUACCUGCUUCACCCAACCAAUGUUCCUCAAUUCGAAUUAAAUCUCUGAAACCCUGAACAAACUGUGGUUAUUUUAGAUGCUCCAAAGGUUCGCAGUGUUUAUUGUUUAUAAAAGAAAGCAAUUUCAAGAAAAUACAUGUAAUAGCUGAAGAAAAAUCUGUCACCUGGGGAACGGCCGAUUCCUUCAUUUCUCCGAACAAUGCCACUGGUCUUUUGCUUCCAGUAGUGGUCGCGGUCUUCUCUAGAGGCCACGAAGAAGGUCGAAGCAGGGCUGUCCUGCGUAUGCAUCACACUCCUAGGUAUGCGGCCGGCCGCCCGUCCUCCCCUCGCCCUGAGCGCCGGCGCCGGGGAACCCGUGGUGGACGCACAUGGCGGCGCCGCCAGGGCAAGGAGCACUGAAGGAGACCGAAACAGAGCUUAGGGUUAAAAUGGGCCGACCCAGCUCCGGUGUUAAUGUUUACCAACAGCUAUCUAUUUUUGCCGCCUCUAGAAAAACAGCUAUCUUUUUUUUUGAACGCAAAAAAAAAACAGCUAUCUAUUUUUCCUAAAAAACAAAAAAAAAUCAGGUCAAUCUCACCUGCUCAGGUUGUGAUAACACAUAAGUGACACACUGCCUGUGUAUCACCUUCAUAACUCGGGAGUUUUUCUUUUUCUUAAAUUUAUUUAUUCAAAACAUUUUAUUUCUUAAACCAUUCAUCUAAAUUGUGAAACGUUUUUAGCAUUGAAUUUCUUGCGUCGAGAAAUUCAAAACUAGAUUCCAUGUUAAAAGAUUUUGAUAUAUAUUUUUUUUGUACAAAAAAACCAUAAAAAAGGCAGAAGAAAAACCCAAGCAGAAAGGAUUGUUUAUUUAUCCUUUCCAAGAAGCACAAUUGCACCUCUCGUGGAAGCACAUAUGUGUCUCCACGACAAGCAAAUCUGUGCCUCUUGUGAAAGCAAAAAAAAAAAGUUUUUUUCUCCCUAUCUGAGGCACAGCUCACUGAAGCAAAUGUGUGCCUCCACGAGAAGCUAAUAUAUGCCUCUCAUGGAGAAAAAAGAACCCCUUUCUGAGAGGCACGGUUGUGCCUGUCGCUGAAGCAAAUAUGUGCCUCCAUAAGAGGCAAGUAUGUGCCUCUCAAAGAAAAAGAAAAAAAGUUGUAUUUUUAGAAGUUUCAAAGAAUUCUCUAAAAACCAAGGAAAGACUGGGCACCAAUCGAAAAGCCAAAAUCCAAAAAAAAAACACAAAAAUCCAGAAAAUGUACAUAAAGGUAAAACAAAAAACAAAAUCCCAAGGAAGUGCCCAACACGCGAUACGUGGCGGCGAUUGAGGAAGCGCCCAGAAAUGACCCUUGUGGAGCUCCCGCAAGGGGUACCGCUUGGUUACUUGUUCCCAAAAAGACGUGGGAGCUAUAUGUUGCCCUGGCUUGAAAACUUUUCCCACCCGUAGCCAUUGGGAAGGGCCGUUUUGUAUGUCUUCUUUCAUUCGAUAGGGUUUCGAUCGAGACCCUCGAUCAAUGUUGGUUACCUUCGCUCUGUUUUCUUUUUUUCCCUUUUUUCAUUCUUUUACUCCAUGGAUUUUUUUAAAAAUCUUCUAUUUUUGUUUUCCUAGGGUUUGUAAUCGGUUUUCUUUGUUUCUUUCUCCGUUUUCACGGUUUUUCUUUUAUUUCUUCAGAUUUUAGUUUCUUAUCUGUGUUUUCUCUGAAUUUUUUGUUUACCUUGUUUCAUUUUUCCACUAGAUUUUUGUUUUCUUUUUCUUCGGUUGUCUUUGGUUUCUCCGUGUUUUUCUUUUUCCAUCGUCAUACUUCAUUUUUUUUCCUUUUUCCUUUUAUUUUAUUUUUUGUUAGGUUUUCUUAUUUUUCUAUAAGUUUUAUGGUGUAUUUCCUUUCAUUCUCCUUUUGUUUCUUUGAUGCUUUACAUCCGGGUUUUUUAUCUCAAUUUCUUUUUUCUAUUUGAUUUUUUGUUUCUUUUUCAGUUUUCAAUGUUUUCUUUUUUUCCUUUAUUUUAAUCGGGUUUCAGUCCUUUUCAUCCUUUUCGGACUUGUUUUUUUGGGUAUACUUUUUCUGUUUAUUUUUUGGUUUCGCUUCUUUCGUCUUUCUUUGUUUUUUUUAUUCUCUAUUGUUUGUGAUGCGACAAAACAAUUUUUAAGACGCGCUUAACAUUUUUCAAAUAUAAGUUUAUUAUUAUAUUAAAUAAAUUCUUUUUGUUUAUUUAAAGUACUUUUGUAGUGUAAUUAUUUUGAAUAUUUGGAAAUAUAAAGGAAAGUAAAAACAUGAAAAGACAAAAAAAGGGCAAUGGCCUCCUGUGUGUCUGGGCCGGCCCUUUAGGGAGGCACGUGGCGCGAGAGCACACUAGGUCUCGCUAUAAGCGAGACAUAGUGCUGCCUAAAAAACCAACAGUUAUCUAUUGCUCGCAACCGUGCAGCUCUCAGUUCGACCAAAAGCUAGUUAGUGGGUAGUUCCAUUAUGCUCUCUCCGCACAUGAGCUAGCUUAAAAGCUCUCGCUUCCCUCAAGAGACUACUAGUUUGAUCAACCAACAUGGAGUAGCAAGACCGAUCCCUGUCCGGAGCUUUGAUCAUACUGAGAGCAAUGAGGCAGUCCGUUUCGACCUCGAUGGGCAGUUGCGUCCACUAUAGUGUGAGACUGAUGCCCUCCAUGCACGCUAAGAGCUCAACCUCCGGUGGUUCAACACACGUCCUCAAUUCUCUGCCGGAGGAGAAGUUGAUCUCGUGUGGGGAACGACACGGGGGGGCUGUUUCAUCCUUAACAUGGUUACACAUGUUCUCUGAAGGUGUUCACCUGCACUGGGUAGUGUGUCUUACUCUUCAGUUAUCCUGCAGUCGACAACGCUUCAAUCAACGGCUGAGAUUCUCCCAUAUCGGUUCACUCGGCACUAUAUCUAUUACAACUGUUACUAGCCCUUAGUAUUGUUAAGUAUUGUGAAACUGCCCUUCUCAGCUCGAGCUCAUAUGAGCUCAAGUGAAUAGUAAAGUGCAAAUAAAUAAAUAAUUCUGAACUUUUUUGCUAACAUUGACAAAUGUUUUCAAUGCUUGAAAAGUUUCAUCAUGAAAUGGCAUUCGUGGACGUCAUGGCAAAAACAAAUCAGCACUCCAAAUAUAACUUCCUUGGAGCAUCAAUUUUUUCUUUUUUGCUACGACUUCAACGAAUGUUAUUUUGUGAUGAAAUUUCGCAAGCAUGUAAAACAUUUGUCAAAUGUUGACACAAUUUUUUCCAGUUUUCUUAUUGUUUUCUCAUUUUUUUGAUUUUACUGUUCACCGAGCUCAUAUGAGCUCGGGCUCAUUUUAUCUACUUCCUAAUAUAAUAUAAGUAUUAUUGCUUCAAUAUCGCACUAUAAUCUAUCGUGUGUUUUGCGUCAGUAUAUUUUUCCCAUUGCUGGCAAAAGGGCUUAAACACUGGGACAAUUACACUCUCUCAUACUCGUAUCUGUACGUCGGAAUUCGGACUAGGUAAACUACGUUUUGUUGUUCCUGCUUUGAGUAGUUCACCAUAGCAACUCCAAUGCGCCGACCCAAAUGGACGGCGGUUUUGUCUGCUUUUCGUCCGUUUGGGUCGAUCGCCCGCUCGGCGUCUGUUCUGUUUUCUUUUCGGGUCGGCUAUGCGCCCAACGUAAGAGACUCAUUUCAUAUCCGCCUGCAAAUUUAAAAGGCAUGCGGGCAUAGAUCUUGCCAGUGAUCAUGCCGCCGCUCAAAGUUCAUGCCGGCAUCAUGGGCUAGCAUACAAAUGCCAGCCAUCAAAAAGACCAUCACACAGUUCUUACUGGCGCGCUUGCCAACAGCCGGCACACAUGGCAGCACACAAAAAAGGUCGGUAGUUCGACCACGCCAUCUCGGCCGUGGUCAUACCAGCACAUUUGCCGGCAUACAAAAAAGGAUGCGCAUGCCGUCAUAGACUACUCGUCGUCAAACUUGAGCAUGUGGCCUGCAUCUUCUCGAACCAUGGCCUCUUCCUCAGUGACACGGUGUUGAGGUCCACCUUCAUGAUCUCC